rnacentral:lncRNA from 1 species
CCACCUUGUUUCACAGACCAGGAAAAAAUUGUCUAAUUAUGCAAAAGGUCAUCGACACGGUUGACUGAAUUGAAGUCCCAAAGUAAUUCUUGAUCAUUGCAUAGACCAACCAAACCUGUCAUAGAAGCAGCACAAGUUUACCUUGCUUGAUAAUAUUUCAAAACAAUAGUAUGACUACUGGUAAUGUUAAGGGGGUCUACAUUCAUAUAUGAGAGACUAGCCAAAACAACUUUCAACAUUUUCUUUGUCACCAAACAAAAACACUUGAACCUUGAAUUUUAUUUUAUCUCAGUUCAUCAUAUUCCAAGAAGCGAUGCUCUUCUUAUAAGGUUAAUGAGGGACAUCAAGAGAACAAUAAGAAACUUGACGGGGGUUUCGUUCAUCACAUAAAAUCAAAAGGCGUUUGUCCCAAACAGGAUAUCUGUCAUUAAUCAAAUUUGACAUACAAAAGAACUUACAAAGGAACUCAAAAUGGCCAAGGAUUUUUUUCAAAGAAAAUAUGAACAUUGGACAUUGGGAAAUUCUGGGUGUAGUAUACAAUAACGAGUAGUAGAAGUUCAUCAGCCUCUAGAUGAAAAUUUCAAAUCCCACCUUUUUCGAUAAGGGAAAUGUUAAUUAUAUGUUUGCAGUCUACAGAAGCUAGCAACAGAAGAAUAAACAAAAAACAUUGCUAUAAUGUAAUCAACAACAAUUAUAGAGAGGCAAAUCCGGAGUUUCCAAAAUCAAUCAAAUAGAUACCCAUUGUACAGCAAAUCAUUCUAAAAAUUUCUCUUUUUGCUCAUGCCGGCAUUUCAAGGAUGAAGAAUCUUACUAUGCCUUCUAUUGGGUUUACAUUUUGAUCUUGGCUGAAGCAUCACGUCAGCUUUUGGCCAACUCCCCCACUCCUUCAAUUAUGUAAGACUUGCAAUUUAGACCCCGUCAUGGAAAGCUUUCUUGUCAGAAGAAGAUGGUGAUGUAAAGUUGGUCAUGGAUCUCAGAAGAAAAAUGAUUAUUCAUUGCUUAUUUACCUUUGUUGAAGAAACAUUACUCCUCUCACGUUGUAAUAAGGUGUAAGAUUUAUUACAUCAUUAUCAUCGCGAGAUAAUGUUUCCAAAGAGAACUAAAACUUUAACCAAGGACGUAGUUCAUAAUUUCUAUUGACGCGCGUUCUAGAUAAGUUAGGUAUUGCUUCCAAUGAGUCACAACCAGAAAUAUCCAAAUAAGUUAAAUUCAACAAUUCAAGUCCUCGAAGCUGAGCAAGUUUCUUGCAGUCUCGAACUAUUAGAUAUCGUAGCUUCUUAAAUCCUGUCAAAUUUGGCAAAGCCUCCAUUAAUUUGCAUCCUGUAAGAUCUAACACUUCUAAGAACUUCGCACGGUCAAGACCUUGAAUUUCAACUAGGUUGCCACACCCAGAAGCCUCGAAUGUCUUCAAACGCUUGCAUUCAUAUAAAAAUAAUUUAGGUAUUGCUUCCAAUGAGUCACAACCAGAAAUAUCCAAAUAAGUUAAAUUCAACAUUUCAAGUCCCCGAAGCUGAGCAAGUUUCUUGCAGUCUCGAACUAUUAGAAAUCGUAGCUUCUCAAGUCCUGUCAAAUCUGGCAAAGCCUCCAUUGAUUUGUAUCCUGUAAGAUCCAACACUUCUAAGUCAACUAGAUUGCCGUACCCAGAAGCUGCGAAUGUCUUCAACCACUUGCAUUCAUCUAAAAAUAAUUUAGGUAUUGCUUCUAAUGAAUCACAACCAGAAAUAUCCAAAUAAGUUAAAUUCAACAUUUCAAGUCCCUGAAGCUGAGCAAGUUUCUUGCAGUCUCGAACUAUUAGAAAUCGUAGCUUCUCAAAUCCUGUCAAAUCUGGCAAAGUCUCCAUUGAUUUGCAUCCUGUAAGAUCCAACACUUCUAAGAACUUCGCAUCGUCAAGACCUUGAAUUUCAACUAGAUUGCCGCACCUAGAAGCCUUGAAUGUCUUCAAACGCUUGCAUUCAUAUAAAAAUAAUUUAGGUAUUGCUUCCAAUGAGUCACAACCAGAAAUAUCCAAAUAAGUUAAAUUCAACAUUUUAAGUCCCCGAAGCUGAGUAAGUUUCUUGCAGUCUCGAACUAUUAGAGAUCGUAAUUUCUCACAUCCCGUCAAAUCUGGCAAAGUCUCCAUUGAUUUGAAUCCUGUAAGAUACAACUUUUCUAAGAACUUCGCACCGUUAAGACAUUGAAUUUCAACUAAAUUGCCGUACCCAGAAGCCUUGAAUGUCUUCAAACGCUUGCAUUCAUAUAAAAAUAAUUUAGGUAUUGCUUCCAAUGAGUCACAACCAGAAGUAUCCAAAUAAGUUAAAUUCAACAUUUUAAGUCCUCGAAGCUGAGUAAGUUUCUUGCAGUCUCGAACUAUUAAAGAUCGUAAUUUCUCACAUCCUGUCAAAUAUGGCAAAGUCUCCAUUGAUUUGCAUCCUGUAAGAUACAACUCUUCUAAGAACUUCGCACGGUCAAGACCUUGAAUUUCAACUAAAUUGCCGUACCCAGAAGCCUCGAAUGUCUUCAAACGCUUGCAUUCAUAAAAAAAUAAUUUAGGUAUUGCUUGCAAUGAGUCACAACCAGAAAUAUCCAUAUAAGUUAAAUUCAACAUUUCAAGUCCCCCAAGCUGAGCAAGUUUCUUGCAAUCUUGAACUCUUAGAGAUCGUAAUUUCUCACAUCCCGUCAAAUCUGGCAAAGUCUCCAUUGAUUUGCAUUCUGUAAAAUCCAACUCUUCUAAGGACUUCACACUGUCAAGACCUUGAAUUUCAAUUAGAUUGCCGCACCCAGAAGCCUUGAAUUUCUUCAAACACUUGCAAAAAUAUAAAAAUAUGACCUCCAAGGACUCCAAAUUAUCACAGCCCUUAAUUUCAACUAGGCUAUCGCAAUGCUCAAUGCGUAAUCGUUUUAGAUGAAUAAAUCCUGAAAGGCCUAAUGUUUUAAUGGAACUGCACUUUUUUAUUGAAAGCUCUUCCAAGUGCGUGAGUCCACUAAGCGAAAGUGAUGUCAACUUAUCCCACUCCUCAAAACAGAGUUUCAAUGUUAUUGAGGAAAGCUCGCGGAUGUCUUCAAGUAAAUGGCGUACCUCAAGAUCGAGUUUUUCUAAGUGGAUGAGGCGAAGGAGCUGUGGUAGUCCAAGACUCUGACAAGUAACCGACAGACAUGUUAAUCCCGAAGGAAGCUCUGGCAGCGACCAGAGCUUGUAACAGCCCCUUAGGUCAAGGCUUUGGAGAGAAGAAGGAAGCUUUGGCAGCAACAGGAGCUCCUUACAGCCCCUUAGGUCAAGGCUUUGGAGAGAAGAAGGAAGCUUUGGCAGCGACCGGAGCUCCUUACAGCCCCUUAGGUCAAGGCUUUGGAGAGAAGAAGGAAGCUCUGGCAGCGAUCGGAGCUCCUUACAGUCCCAUAGGUCAAGGCUUUGGAGAGAAGAAGGAAGCUCUGGCAGUGACCGGAGCUCCUUACAGUCCCAUAGGUCAAGGCUUUGGAGAGAAGAAGGAAGCUCUGGCAACGACCGGAGCUCCUUACAGCCCCUUAGGUCAAGGCUUUGGAGAGAAGAAAGAAGCUCUGGCAGCGACCGGAGCUCCUUACACUCCCAUAGGUCAAGGCUUUGGAGAGAAGAAGGAAGCUCUUGCAGCAACCGGAGCUCCUUACAGCCCCUUAGGUCAAGGCUUUGGAGAGAAGAAGGAAGCUCUGGCAGCGACCGGAGCUCCUUACAGCCCCUUAGGUCAAGGCUUUGGAGAGAAUAAGGAAGCUCUGGCAGCAAUCGGAGCUCCUUACAGUCCCAUAGGUCAAGGCUUUGGAGAGAAGAAAGAUUCCGGACACUUUUUGGCAGGUCAGAUAUCCGUGUGCAACCGAUAUCGAGACCCUUGAGGGAAGGCAAGUCACCGACUUCACUUGGAAUUGCCCCUUUCAGACUACUGCAACCUAAGAGACAUAGAAACUGCAGAUUUUUCAACCCUCCAAUAGCACUGGGAAGCUUUUCGAUCACAGUUUCUUGCAAGUGAAGGUCUUGCAAAUUCUGUAAAUCCCCAAUUGAGCUGGGGAUUUCUCUCAGUGACUUACAUUUGUAGGCACUCAGUGUCUUCAAUUUACUCAAAGAACCAAUAGACGAAGGAAUUGCUGUAAUACCAGAUUCAUGUAAAAGAAGUUCUUCUAAAUCUUUUAAUCCACCCACCUCCUCUGGUAGCUCCUUGAGAUCUAUACAGCAACUCAAGUCCAAGGUAACGAGGCUUGUGAGUUCGCCAAUAGAAGGGUGGAGAUGCUCCAAUCCAUAACAAUGGCUCAAUAGGAGAAUUUUCAACUGCGUGAAAGUUGAGAGUUCAGGAGUACAUCUUAAAUUAUGACAACCUUGAAUGGCAAGAACUUUAAGCUGCUUUGAUGCCUAAUAAAAAAGGAGAAUAAUCCGUCAAAUGAGUUGAUUGGCUAAACAAAAAACAAACCUCAAGAUCGCAGAGAGGAUGUAUUCUUUUCCCAAUCUUACCAUAAAUGAAUUCCAUCCUUCCCAAUCCUCUGUGAUUCUUACCCAAUUCUCUUCACUCUCCCACCAUAAGUCUAGCACCGAUAAUUUUGGCAAAUGCAAGUUGAUUGUCGAAAGAGACGCAUCGUUUCCAGGAUUGAUCCACUCAAACCAUCUCACUUCAAAAAACUUGGAAUCUCCACUAGAAGCUGCCCCAAAAAGUUGUGGAACCAGGGGCGUCUCUGCAAGUUUUUUCACUUUUUAGUUUUUGCUUUUUUUAAAUCUUGAAUUUGCACAAUUACCUUUUUAUCCUUCCCCUAUACAUGUAUGGAUAUGUAAACUCACAUUUUUUUAAAAAAAAAAAUUUAUGACCUUUUGAAAGUUAAACAAAUGACGCAAAGAUAACGAAAAAAAUAAUUAUUGCUUUAAAACAACUGAGGCAAAUGCACCUCAAUGUUUUAUCUCUUGCUUCUUCUUAUUUUUCAAAAUUUUGCAGCGCAUGGAUUUUCACUUUCAUUUAAGAAGAAAUACAUAAAACCAGUUUACAACGUACAAAUGUUUACUUGUAAAUUUUUAAAUGACUUAUGUAUAAUUUUUUAAAAGAAUUUGCUAAAGAGUGUCGACGGGCCACCUGUAAUUAGCUAAGGAAGCACCCUAUUUUCAUUUCAUUAGUUAAAUGUAAUAAUGUGGAAGAGAAAAGAAAAGGGGAAUUUUUAAUAUAUUCAGAUAUAUAGAAAAGUUUAUGUGGAGGGAAAUUAAAAGAAAUCAAAUAUGAUAUGCAUUAUCAAAAUAGAUAUAGAAAAUUAAAAGAAAUAUCCUUAUCUCUAGAAGGUAUCUAAAUAUCUUUAACGUCAUUAACUAUUUGCGUGGAGUGUUUACUCAUUUCUUUGACAAUCGAAACGUUUGUUUUUUUUUUUUUUGGGUAAAACUUUUUUUAAAAAGUGACGUGGUGACAUUGGUUAGCAGUUUUGACCAGGAUUGAAAAAAAAAAUAAUAAUAAGUCGCUUUUAGAAUAACUAGAAAAUGAACCAAUUAACUAAAAAGUGCCGUGGUAACAUUGUUUAAUCAUCACAUGUCGGUUCCAUAAGAAUGGCAUCGUUUCUUUUUCCAUCUUAUAAAUCAAAAAACAUACUGUUUAACUCCCUGCUAAAACAGAUCAUUUAAUUCCCUUAUGGCUUUAUUUGACUUUUAUAAUAAUACCUUUAUUUUCCCCCCAAAAGUUUAAUUGGCUAGAAAUUCACUUUUAUGGUUAGACACAUUUGUCGUUAUAUCUGCUUUAAAUAUUAACCAGUGAAAUGCAAUGGGUAUAAAUUCUCUUAAGUCUGUUUGUCUGAAAAGUAGCUAAAUUGUUGUAAUCAUAUCCCACACUAUCUUUAAUAAUUUUCGCUUGUAUAUCGAUCUAUACUAUGUAUUACAUAAAUAUAUAUAUAUAUAUAUAUAUAUAUAUAUAUAUGUACUGUAUGGAAAGGAGAUUUCAAUCCUCAAACUUUCAUCAAAAGUUUCCACACAAUUCGCAUAUAUCUCACCAAAAUGAACUAAAGAAAUAGGAUAUAACAAAAUAGGCAUAAUCAUAUUUGAAAUAGUCAAGACAAUUGGAAAUUAGUCCCACAAGCAAUUCAAUUUCCAAAAUUAAAUCAAAAUCUCUCAAAUCGUACAAUCAUUUCAUUUUUCUUCGACACUAUUUAUCAUCUUUCAGCAUUUUUGUCCAUUCAAAACAGAAUUGACCUUUCUUUUUCAUUGUUCCAAACACCUGUAUGGUGUGGUUUUUUUUGCUAAUGCUAAGAAGUUAUUGGAUCAACAAAAGAGUGUGAUAUUAAAUCAUAGGAACGAACUAUUUGAAAUUAUAUCAAGAAUAUAAGGCUGCUUUGUUUGCCCAACAUCCCUUGGUCAAUUUCUAGGGUUAAUUCCUUGCCGUUGAUCAGCCAUGAAACUGUAAAGCUUUUCAAAUGGACAAUAUAUAAUAAAAUGACAUGAACAUUGACAAUUUAAGUUAAAGAUAAAACAUAGUUGAAACAAUUUGCUUCAUGCUGAAAAUCAUAUAUAAUGAAUACAAGGUUAUGGAUAUAAUAGUAAGCAUGACAUUUCCUCCGAUUAGUCAAGUUUUCAUUUUUUAUCUUCAAAAUAGUCAAGUUAGUCUAGCNNNNNNNNNNNNNNNNNNNNNNNNNNNNNNNNNNNNNNNNNNNNNNNNNNNNNNNNNNNNNNNNNNNNNNNNNNNNNNNNNNNNNNNNNNNNNNNNNNNNNNNNNNNNNNNNNNNNNNNNNNNNNNNNNNNNNNNNNNNNNNNNNNNNNNNNNNNNNNNNNNNNNNNNNNNNNNNNNNNNNNNNNNNNNNNNNNNNNNNNNNNNNNNNNNNNNNNNNNNNNNNNNNNNNNNNNNNNNNNNNNNNNNNNNNNNNNNNNNNNNNNNNNNNNNNNNNNNNNNNNNNNNNNNNNNNNNNNNNNNNNNNNNNNNNNNNNNNNNNNNNNNNNNNNNNNNNNNNNNNNNNNNNNNNNNNNNNNNNNNNCAUCUUAUUGCUUUGGGUUAUUUAUCGGUUAUUAUACUAUCUCCUUCUUUUUUUUCUUAACCAGGAAAUCUUCAUUUAUUUGAUCUAUGAUGUUUAUUCUUCGUCUUCAUUCAUAAUUAUAGUCCUUCUAAUUAUCAAUAUUUUCAAGACAAUUGCAUGCUUUAAGUAAAUGAGAUUUCUAGUCUAAAAUUGUAGUUAAAGGAUUUUGAAUUGAUUGCCAAACAAAUUUUUACAUAUGUAAUUUACAUCGAUGAAAUUGAAUCAAUGAUAUAACUUUUUCAUCCUUGAGAUACUUAUGAUUUAUUUAGUGUCACAAUUAAUCUACGAUGUACAUAAAUGGAUGUUUAAAUAGAUUUUUUUUCCUAGAAAGUAAGAGCAUCUUUUCAUGCUCAAUGAUUUAGUAGAAUAGAUCGGAUUAAGAGGGAGAGAAAAAAAAAAAAGAAUGCCAUAUUUUACCUCUGGAUGUCUUACUACUCUUGGGACUCCCUCAUAGUCAUCAUCCCAUGGUCCAUUACAUUUCUCAAGCAGUUGUCCUCGGCAAAAAAUGCUCCAAGAUCUCUUAGUUGAUCAUGCACCAUAAAUUCACCAUGAUCUCCAAUUUUAAUUAAGCACCUCAACUUCAACUCUUCAAUUCCUUGAUUUGGAGAAAACCCAAGGUCCUCCCACAUGUAUAUGGCAAAUCGUGCAAAUUGGCCAUCGCCAUGUACGCCAAUAAAGAAACAAACAAUAUCGAGAAAAAUCUGCUUAUGUUCAUCUUCUAAUGCAUCAUAACUUAUUUGCAAUAUUUUUUGGACAUCUCUAUGUGGUUGGCUUUUUAAUUGUUUCCGCACAUCUUCCCAUACUUUUCGAUUCGGUUUUUUAUACAAGUAUGAACCUACGACCUUAAGUGCCAAGGGAAGCCCACCCAUGGUGGAUACAAUAUCACGAGAUAGACCCUCAAAGUCCUUCGAAGAAUGGUCCAUGUAAAAUGCAUGUCUAUUAAACAAAAGCAAAGCAUGCUCCCAAUCCAAUUCAUUCAAAUCAUACUUGUGUACAUUGAAUUUAGAUUGAUCGAGAAUGGCUUCAUAUCUGGUUGUAACAAUAAUAAUACUUCCUGCCAUAAACCAAUUACGCUCUCUAGCCAAAGCAUUUAAUUGAUCCUCAUGAUCUAUAUCAUCCAGAAGAAUGAGAACAUUUUUUCCUUUGAAUCUAGAUUUGAUCAAACUAAUUCCACCAUCAACAUUCCCAAUUUGAGAUUCGAUUUGUAGAAUGUCCAUAAUUAGUUGCUUUUGUAAAUGAACAAUAUUGUUGCGGCAAGUUGUUUCUCGAAUAUCUACAAGGAAGCUAUGAUGCACAAAGUCAUUCGACAGCUGAUUAUAGAUUACCUUGGCAAGAGUCGUUUUUCCAAUCCCACCCAUGCCAUAGAUUCCAAUCAUUCGAGCAUUAGUGGCAGGAGUGUCUACCCAUUUCAUGAUUCUGUUCACAUGAUCAUCAAUUCCAACUAAGUGCUCAGUAACAUCAAGCUGAAAAUCUUGUUGCAACUUGCUCAGAACAUUUUCGAUAACUUUUUUAACUAAUUCUCCUUCAUGCCUGUCCAGCAAAAAAAACCUCAUUGAUAAUUUCGUGAUUAUACUUAAUCUCAUCAAAAGGCACCGACAGACGUGAAGAAUAGAUGGGACCAAUUAACAUGCAAGAUGUUUUGGUUUUACAAAUAACAAUGGAGGAUGAUGGCCAGCGGUCAUUUCAUUUUUUCUUCUCUCUUCUGCUAGAUGGAUCUUGUUGAAAGAAAAUAAGGCAGUGCACCUGGCUCGUUAAGAGUCUUUAGAAGCGUAAUGUUUGUUACAAGGCUUAAGAUUGCUGCUAGUUAAAUGAUAGGAGGUCAAUUUUGUUUCAAUUAAAGAAGUUUAGGAGAAAAGUAUGUUACUCCACUCUAAGGCCAGGGCAUCUCACAUACCAAAAUUGAGGACUUAUAGUCGAUUUACAAAUCGCUACCGAUGGGGUCCACUGACAAUGGAAAUCAAACCUAGACAUGGUAAAUGUGAAGUGUCCAGUCCUUUCCACCUGAGCCAACUUCCAUUCGCAUUAGGAGGUCUAUUUUAUCUGGUGGUGAUAAAGCUUUGAAAUACUGAGCAUUCGAGUCCUUUCUAAGCUUAUUGUUUGGUGAUUGACACUAUUGGCCGGAGGGGUUGUCAUUUCUUUGAUUUUUGCUUUGUUGGAGACAACUGUAAUUCAUCUGUUUCGAAUGAACAAGAAAAUUUACAGGAUAAUUACUAAAAAAAAUUAAAUUUAUUAUAAUUAUGUUAAAUCAAUCUUUAAUUUUUUUUAUAACCAAUUUAGUCCUACACAUUUUGAAAAUAUGCUAAUGUAGUCCAUCUAGUUAACUUUGGCUAGAAAUCUCUAACAUGGACACAAGUCGUUCUAUGAGAUACCGUCGAUAUUGACGUAGAGUAUUUUUAUAAUUUUUUUUAUAUUUUUUUCUGAACUUUGUUGAAUUUGCUUAUAUUUUUUGUUUUUUUCUUUCUUUCUUUCUUUUUUCCUUCUUCUUCUACGGUCAGUGGCCAUAGAUGAGGGCUGCCUCGCCAUGAGGGCUGACCUCGCCAGAAUCUGGUCCUUCUAGUGGGUCCUAUAGAGAAUCGCAAGGAGGGAGAGACCGAGAGUUUUCCCAACAAGAGAGGGCCGUCGUUGGGUCAGAUGAGGAGGUUCGCUAGCAGCCAGAACGUGCUGGCAAACUUCGACUGGACGGCGCAGGUGGCGCCGAUGGAUGCAGCGGAGCAGAGGAACUGUUACUUUGACGACAAAGACAGAGACAAAGAAGAGCGAGAUGACGACGACGGCGACGAAGUGGGGAUUCCAUUUUCGUCCCCCAUUUUUGGUAGGUGGAGUGGAGUCGAAGGCGAAGAAGGAAGUGAAUCUGCGGAAGAAAAGGACAAUGGCUCCCCCUCAACCACUUCGCUUGCGACAUCCCCAUUAAUUCUGCAAAUAUAAUCGUGUUCUCGAAUGAUUGCGUUCCUGGAUUCCCGAUUUCUGAUGUUCUUCCUUCUUUUUUUAGGGUUAUUAGUUUGUGUUGGCCUGACCUCUUUAGAAGGACCAGAUUCCGGCAAGGUUGGCCCUUGACAGGGAGGGCGAGCCUCACCAACCCUAGUAUGUGGCCUGUUGCCGGCCAUCAAGGAGGCCAGCAGCUGGAGAGAAAGAAGGGAUUUCUAGCUAAAAUCAGCCGGAAGAACUAUAUUGGUAGAUUUUCAAAAGAUUUAUGAUUAAAAUGGCUAAAUAAAAAGUCUAGAACUAAAUUUUUACUGUUAUAAUAGGUUUAAUAUGUUUUUUUUUUUUUUGGUAAUUUCCCCAAAAACUUACUUAUAGAAAAGAGAAGUUUAGGUAGAAGCUAAGUACCCGUCAGCAACUUUCCGAGACUCCCAUCCCUGUAAAUGACUCACUUUUUCGAGUGCUUCCUGCACUUUCUGGAUGUCCUCCUCACCAAAAUACUUCUUACAUGUACGAAAGGCCUUCCUACCAAAGUUUCCUCUUUUUAGAUGCCCCACAUCCGAUGGGUCCACUUUAUAAAAGAUGGGCAAAACUGUGUGUGAUGGGCUCUUCGCACGAUCCAUGAUAUGAAUAAGCUCGCGGAGGCACCAUUUGCUUGAAGCAUAAUUUUCGGAGAUGAUGAGAAUCGAAAUUUUAGACCGAGCAAUGGCAUUGAGAAUUUCUGGACCAAAUUCCUCGCCAAUUUGGAUGCUCUUAUCAUCCUUGAACACAAAAACUGGUGUAAUCCCUACCUUGACUAGACUGUGAUAGAGGUGAUCAGUGAAUCCCUUGCGGGUAUCUGACCCUCUAAAGCUCAAGAACACAUCAUAAUGAUCAUUACAUAUUCCUUCACGUAUUCCUUUGAGUGUUGGAGAGAUUUUCGAAGGUGCGGAUGCUCUCUUCUUCUUGACAAGAUAGAAUGCAAGCAUACUAAAAAGAAUCGUCGCGGCAAGCACUGCGGGCAUUAUUAAAGGGUGCAUCCCUUCGUUUGUUUCAGUGUAACUCCGCCCUUUGUCGAUGGCAAUCUGAGAGGGAAAGUUGGAGAGAAAGAUGCUCUCCUGCUGCAUAAAAAGGAUUGAUAAUUAGUCUCUAUGAAGUAUGAACAAGUAUGAACAUGAAAUCUUUUACCAAGCAAGAAAAGAUAAACAUGAAAUUAUUAAUUAAUUAUUAUUUGAUUGACUAGGAGCAGUCGCUGAUGCUUUCAAUCCUUGCUUUAUCUUCUUUUGGAUAUCAUCCUCUAGUCAAGUCAAUCUUGCCGGGUUCGGUCCCCUUACGUAUAACGCGUACAUUAAUUUCUUAAUUGGGCUAUAGAAUAAUGGAAUCUAUGUACAAGCAUAUUGCAUUCGUUCAAAAUUAUAUGUAGUGGUUCAGUUUUUAUUUGAUUAUUGAAAAUAAGAUUUUGAUAAAUCAUUUUUUGUCAAAGAAUUUGAUAAAUCAUUUAAAAGCUGAUAAUUGAGCUGAGACAAAAUUGGAAAUGUGGGGAAGGCGUGAAGAAAGGACCUAGCUAGUAAUUAUGAAUGUGAUUUUAAAUUUAAUUUGGCCAUAGAUUUCUCCUCCUGCACAGCACAAAGCCUUCCUUCUCCUUGUAAAAUAGAGAUAUAAUUUGUUAGACGGUACCAAACGGAGAAGCGGAUGCUCCCUCAGUGAUCUCUUUUUAUGCACUCUUUUUUUUCUUCAUGUUAGUCUGAACAAUUAGAAAUUAGGUACUUAUUCAAUGGAAGAAAAAGAAGAUAAAAAAAAGGUCUCCGGAUUCAAGCGAAAUAUGACAAUUAAUAGAGUCUGGCGUGCUUGCAAACCUACUCGUUCUAGUUCAAAAAGAGAUCAGUACUGAAUUACGAUACAACUAACAACAUGUAAUAAGGUCAUCAUAGGAUUAUUUACAUCUAAAGUCGAAAAUACCGAAGUCGUUAACAGGCAACAACAAUUCCAAAAGAGAGAAUAAAAGACACCCUCCUCAGCUAUUCCGCAGCCACCCCACAUCCCCAGUAGACAAAAAGGGCCCAGAAGACACUAGUUCAGACUAUUAUUUCAAUAAUAAAGCGAUGAAUCAAUAGAAACGACACGGUAGUAAGAGAUGAAAAAGUGAUUACCUUCCGCGAGCUAAGAUACGAAGAGAGGCGCGAGAAACAGCACGGUAGUAAGAGAUGGAAAAAGUGAUUACCUUCCGCGAGCUAAGAUAUGAAGAGAGGCGCGAGAUCGGUGAGAGAAGACCCUAAGCAAGCCUGGGCAGGAACUUUCAAAGGGGGAAAAAGAACAAAGAAAGCGAGUGAGGACUGACCAGUGGACGACAGUCUCAAAUUGUUCUGCGAGAGAGAGGCCGAAUGCGAAAGAUAAAGUGAGCAAUGAGAGAGAGAGAGAGAGAGAGAGAGCGGGGGGAUCAAUCAAUAGUAGACGACAGUCUUGAAUUAUUAUUGACCAAUCGGUAGACGAUAGGUUGAUUGACUGGCAGCAAUAAAAAUUCUUUUCAGAUGGCAAGCAAAGUCAAGCCACACAAUUUGGACCAGAGUACAGAAUGACCACUUCCAUUCAUAUCCACUUAAAAACCAUUUUGUUAAACAGAUAAAUGUGGCUCUAACUAGCUUAUAAAUCUUCCAUUAUAUUAUUAUCAAAGGCAUUCUUACUCCUGUAGGUGCUGCAUUUUCCUCCCACCAUAAAGAUGCAUAAAUCAUAUUGUCAAAUCCAUUGUAAGCCAAUAAUUUUCUACGCUAAAUAUACGUAAAAGUCAUGUCUUUACUGUAAGCAAUAAAAUCGCAUGAAAAGCACAUUUUAGGACAAGUUUCUCUAAUUCAAUCCACAAAGAUAAAGUCCACCUAAAAAUUGUCUACAUAAUAAAUUCGUGCGAGUGCAUUGAAACCAGCAGCUUUGCUCACUUUCAAGUUUUCCAUUGUAACCAGUACCAAAAAGAGAAAAAAAAAAAAAAAAAGGUACAAUGGUGAAUUUUUCAUAAUUGGAAAACAUUUGAAUUUUCUAUCAUUCUUCCAAAAAUAUGAAAAUCGCCAAUAUAAUGGGAAAUGGUUUUGUGUACAACCAGAAAUUAUCUAGCUGAUCUGAUAUGUUUAGAUAAAUUUUUGUUGUUGACAAUUUUGAUCGGUAACCUAUGAAAGGUUUUGUGCAUUAUUGAAGAGAAAAGACUAGCAUGAUCAAUAUUUGGAAAAAUAUCUUUAACAGUUUUCAAGAAACAAAGAAUUAUUUUUGCAAAAACCGAGUAUUUUGGAUGUUUUAGGCUUUAAGUAAUUUUGAACAAGUAGGGUAUGCAUAGGGCUAAUGGACCCAAAAUCGCGUCUAGAAGGAUAUUUUGGUAAUUUUCAUUCCCAAGGGAGUUCAAUCAACCAUUAAUGUUUAGAAAACAACACCAGGAUAAAGGCUGGCAUGCGAUUCCACUAGAUUCAAUCAGUCUUACCAUACAUAACCAAUUAGUUUAAUGGGAAGAUUGUAGUAAGGAAACUAGCAAUAUAUAUGUAAUGAUGAUUUUGGAAAAGGCGAGGGAACUUCACGAGUAAUGUUUCGUAUGCCUUAAAGGAUAUCGGGUGUUAUGCAAUGAGUAAUAAUCAAAUGUAUUUUUGUCCUAUCAAUUGUAAUAGACUAGAGAAUGAAAGUCGGGCUUACCUGGAGGAGUGAUGCAGAGAUGAAAUUCUUGUAAUGGGUUUUAGUGUUUGAGAAGAAGUUGCCUUGGACAGAUCAAGUUGUGUUUGAGUCCCGGAAGACAGUACAAUUUGAGGAUCACCUUCACGCCUCAACUUGGAGCUAUCAAUACAAAUAUAUCUCAGAAAAAAAUGAGGAUCUCAAUGAUUUAUGGUGAUUGGUGUUUCUCCUCUUCAAGCACAAGCAUUUGGGACUUUAUAUAAAGCUGUACUUCUCUUGCCCCAGAGGAGACGCGACAUCUUGUGGUGGAUGGCAUUUCUUAGAUGAGGCAACUGCACUUCUUUUGAUUCUAACCUUUUUGACCAAGACCACUAAAACAAUCCCUUCCUCGAAAUUGGCAAGACGACCCCUAUAGACUUCACUUAUUAAUUCUUUUUGUUAUUGGAUUCCACGGCCAAGCAAGUCACAGUGGAAAUUAAAUUUUUUGACACAAUGCUAGUCCUUAACAGUCACGGAAUCAUCUCCUUUUUUUGUCAAACGAAAUUAUCUCCUUUACUUGGGAACUUUUGCAAGGUGUUCGUAUUGAAAAUUACUUCUUCUCUUGUCUUGAAAAGUGAGCCCAAUGUGCUAGGGACACACACAAUCUUACCAUGGAUUUGCACGUCCUUGAUGAGAAAAUUUACUUUUUUUACUGACUAACGCUCGCCAUUUGUUAGUUCUCUUUGUAAUGGAAUCACAUGGCCGCACAAAUCAAAGUGAAGAUGGACAACAUUUUGCUUUCCCUUCCUAUUGAAAUAAAAGCCUCUCACUACUGGAGGCAUUGAAAUGGUCAAAAAUCUAUUUGUUAACUCAUAUUUAGUGACCUGACUCCUAUAUGGAUUGGCUAAAAUUGAAAGAGUAGGUUGUUAUGAAUUUAAAGUAACAAGAUUCAAUUCAAUAUAUAAUAUAUUUUAAUGAGUUUGAAUCAUGUCUAUAUGCAAUUCAUGUUAAAAAAAAAAGAAGAAUAGAAAAGUAAUGAUCUUUUCAUUUGCUUUCACAUGGCUCUUCUUAGGGGAACUCAUGCUCGAGUGUGGUAUGCCUCAACACGUGGAGCCCAUUGUAUGUGACACAACAAUUGCAUGAGAUUUUUCUUCACUUGCCCAUUGCUUUAAUCAAUGAUUGAGUGACCCGUCAUUCAUUCCCUAUUCAUUAUCGAUUGUUUAAUCUAGUGGGACUCAUGUAGAACUUAUAUGGCUCCGGUCAUUUUUAGUUUUCCAAAUGUAAUCUUUCCCACAUUAUCAUUUAGCUCCACAUCUAGACAACGACGUCAAUUAGGGCCAAUUCAGCCAAAUCUCCUAUGUACUCUUAAGGAUGUAAGGAAUUAGAUUGAUAUCGUGUGCUUAAUAUGACACACAAAAUUUUAUCUUAGGUAUUUAGGGAUCGAAGUUAUGGUGAAAAAUAAGGGAAUGAAGAAAGCUAGGAAAACUAUCAAAAAAGUCCUAAACCAAUUGCAUUUGUGUUAAUUCAGUCCUAAACCUCUAAAUUUGAUCAAUUUAGUGUUAAACCUUUUGAUAAUUUGUCAAUAUAGUCUAUCCGGCCAAUUUUGAUAGGUUUAGGUUGCUUUGGAUGGUGGUUUUGCUUGGUUAUUAGCCGCAUUGCAUCUUAAUGGGCACUUAAAUGUCAAAAAUACUCUUCAUCAGCUUAUCUCACCAUAUGAUACAACCGUCACAUGAAAUAUCUGUUAUUCUACCACAUCAUUUCUUCUCUCUCUCUCUCUCUCUCUCUCUCUCUCUCUCUCUCUCUCUCUCUCUCUCUCUCUCUCUCUCUCUCUCUCUGCCCCCACCACCGCGAAUUAAUGUCACCAUCCUAUAGUCACUUGCCCAAACAACACCAACCAUGCCCUCCACAACUUAGGCCCCAUCUCUCUCUCUCUCUCUCUCUCUCUCUCUCUCUCUGCCCCACCACCGCGAAUUAAUGUCACCAUCCUAUAGUCACUCACCCGAACUAGAGGCGUCUUGCUCAAAGCUACAACGACACUUGACUAGACCUAGCGUCGCAUUUGAGUAAUUUUGGCAUGCAUUGAGCUAGACGCAGCAUUGGAUCUCUACUAGAUCUAAUGUCGAGCCCAACACUGCAGUGGACCGUCAUUGAGGACUUAUAACUCUAGGAUAAAUAUGUUGUUGCAACAGUCAAGCGUGUCACCAAAUUGGGUCGAUGGGAUAUUUCUUUCACAUAGCAUGAUCAUGCCAGUAUAUGCAUUUUGCAAAAGAAAUCUUUAUCAUGAAAAAAAAAGGACGUUUUCAAAACUUCUAUAUCAAAUUUUCUAUGAAACCGAGUUAAUUACCUUUUAGAAAAUUGUCUAGCGAGGGAAAGCAAGUCAAAGUCUUCCACCAUCUCCCUUGCUCAAUUGCAAAGAAAGUGGUAAGGCAAAAGCUGACAAGACCUAAUCAACAUAAUUUUAUUUUUGGGGAGGGGGGGGGGGGGGGGGGGAGGACUGGCCAGAAAACCCAAAUUAAAAUCUUCCCACCUCUUUCUUGCCCGGGUGGAAAAAAAGUGAUAAGGCAAAUGCUGACAAGACCUAAAAGAAGAGAGUGAGGGUGAGGACGAGGGUGAGGGGGAGGGGGGGAGGACUAGCGAGGAAAACCAAGUCAAAGUAUUCCACCAUCGUGCUUGCUUUGCAAAGAGAGUGAUAAGACAAAAGCUUACAAGACCUAAAAGAAGAGGGGGAGGGGGGAAGGACCGGUGAGGAAAAGCAAGUCAAAGUCUUCCACCAACUUGCUUGCUUAGUUACAAAGAAAGCGAUGAGACAAAAGCUGACCAGACCUAAAAGGAAGGGGGGGGGGGAUGGACUAGUGAGGAAAAGCAAGUCAAAGUCUUCCAUCAUCUUGCUUCCUUAGUUACAAAGAAAGCGAUGAGGCAAAAGCUAACAAGACCUAAAAGAAGGGGGAAGGACUGGUGAGGAAGAGCAAAUCAAAGUCUUCCCCCAUCUUACUUGCUUAGUUGUAGAGAAAGUGAUAAGGCAAAAGCUAACAUGACCUAAAAGAAGAGAUAGAGGGAGAACUGGCAAAGAAAAGCAAAUCAAAGUCUUCCACCAUCUUGCUCACUCAAUUACAAAGAAAGUGGUAAGGCAAAAGCUGACAAGACCUACUCAAAAGAAGGAGGGGGUGGGCGAAGAAAGCAAAUCAAAGUCUUCCGCCAUCUUGCUUGCUAAACCAACAAGACCUACUCAAAAGAAAUGGGGGCAAAAAGAUUCUAGCAAUUGAAAGCAAGUCAAAGUCUUCCACCAUCUUGCUUGCUUAGUUACAUGGGGAGAACAAAGACCAUUAUUUAUGGUGAAAAUAUUGUCUAAAUUUAAUUUAUAAAUGAUGCAACGGGGCAAAUCAAUUAUGAUAUAAUAAUUGUACUGAAAUUUGUAUUUUGCGGCGAGGGCUUUGUAUAGGGUUUGCAUGGUUUCUCUUAGGUGUUUUAUUAAAAUCUAAAUGUCUGACAAUACUACAUAAAUAUGUUAUACAUCAAACUGUCCAAUUGACUCUAAACAACUUAUAUUUAUCUAAUAGCACAUGUGGUAAUAUUAUUGUUCUAUAAUUAUGCUCUUUUUUCCUUUAAAUUGACAAGAGUGAGCUAAUAUAGAUCAUGGUCCAUGAAUGUGAACUCACGAAUAUUUGAUACAUGUAAUCCUAAUGCUAGUCUGUCAUUGAGUGUUUGGCAAGAGUUGAAAUUGACAUGUGAAAGCUAUCUGUUACUUGAAUUACAUCAACAUAUCCAAAAGUAGCUACCUAAAUAAAGUUUGUCAAAUUUUCAUCAUUAUUUAAAUUCAUAAAAUCAUUUUUCCUCUGCCCUGCUUGCUUCACUUUUGCUGCUCAUGAGUUGUUUUGUUUUUGAGAUUUACAUUAGAUCCAACAUUUUUUUUUGGUCCGGAUACAAUUCAGCACAUAUAUAAGAUUAAAAAAAAAACAAUUGCUCCGUAUUAUGAGAAUGCUGUUAAAAGGAGUAACAUGUAAAAUAAGUAAGAUUUUUGCCUUCUGAUGAGGAACAUCCUUGUCGUUUUAGGGCUUAACAUGUUAACAGAUAAUGGACUGUUAAACUGAUCUGAAAAAUCCAUUGCUGGCUUUUAUUGGUCAUAAACCACAGGAAUCAAAGGUAUCUUGGUACUCUCUUAAGGGUCUUCUAGAGCAAUAGUUGGAUAAAUGGAAUAAGAUUGUAUCUUUGACUCUUCCCUCUUUCAUCAGUUGACUAAGAUGAGACAUCAGUGGCCCAAAAUGGAAAAGAACAAGAAGGAAUAACACACCCAUAAUCUUAGUACCACCAAAUAUUAAGACUUCGAAACGAGGUUAAAAAUCUUGGGUUCUAUUGCUCAAUAGACGGUAAAAAAACGCUUCAAGUGCCUUAACUUUGCACAAAAUGACACUUAAGUGCCAUAACUUACGAAAGGUGCACUUAAGUGCCUAAAUCGAAGUAAAAUGAAUCACUUGAGUGCCAAUCCAGCCAAAAUCCAGCCAAAACGCUAACGUGUCAAUUUUCCAGCAAAGCGAGUGCGAAACGGCGUCGUUUUAAUGCUGACGUGGCCAAAAAUUUAAUAUAAAAAUUAAUUUAAAUUAAUUUAAAACUAAAUUUAUUUAAAUAUUAAAAUUUUAAAAUUUUAAAAUUUUUUUAAAAAAUUAAAAUUUAAAAAAUUUAGAAAAUUUUGAAAGAUUUAGAAAAUUUUAAAAGAUUUAGAAAAUUUUAAAAAAUUAAAAAAAUUAUAAAAUUAUAAAAUUUAAAAGAAAUUUAAAAAUUUAAAAUUUAAAAAAAUUUAAAAAUUUUAGAAAUUUUUUUUUAGGAAAAGGAGGCGGGCCUAGCCAACCCUCCCCCACCUUCCGGCGAUAGCGGGGAGGCGGUAGCAUCGAGGGCUCUGCCCUCAGUCGUUGGCUGCCUUUUCUCCUCCUCCUCCUCCAUUUUUUUAAAAAUAAAUAUAAAUUAUAUUAUUGUUUUAUUUUAAAAUUUAAUUUAAUUAAUUUUCAUAUUAUAUUAAAAUUCAACUUAUACCAAAACGUUGUUUUGGCCAAUUUAAGUGCUCUAUUCUGGCCAACACCCGAAAUGAUGUUAUUUUGGUGCUGACAUGGUAAAAAAUUUUAAUAUAUAAAUUAAUUAAAUUAAAUUUAAAAAUUUUAAAAAUUAAAAAAUUUUGCAAAAUUAAAAAAAGUUACAAAAAUUUAAAAAAUAAAAUAAAAAGGGAAGCUGUUGAGGGCUGAAAAAUUUUGUAAAUUUUUUAAAUUUUUGUAAAUUUUUUGUAAAUUUUUUGUAAAUUUUGCAAAUUUUUUGUAAAUUUUAGAUUUUUUUAGCAAUUUUUUAAUUUUUUUUUUUGUAAAUUUUUUGUAAUUUUUUGUAAUUUUUUAAAGUUUCUAAAUUUUUAAAAUUUUUAAAAUUUUUUUAAAUAAAUUUAUUUUUAAAAAAAUUAUUUUAAAUUUAAUUUAAAUAAUUUUUAUAUUAUUAUAAAAUUCAAAUGAUACCAAAACGACGUCGUUUUGGCCGAAUUCGAGCUGACUCAGCUCUCCGGUGAGACACAUCAAUGAGAAAUAUUAAUAUUUUAAUGCCACGUAUGAUUUUCAAUCAGGAGAUGGCACUCAGGUGAUCCAUUUUUCUUAAAAUGUGACACUUAAGUGUCCCUUUUUGCCAAAUUAUGGCACUCCAGGGGUCCGCAUGUCCUCAAUAGACAAACGCAAAGGAUCGACGCAUGAAGAGAACAAAGAAUAUUGUUUACCUUCACCAGCCAAAAGAUUGCAAGGUCAACAGCAAAUGCAGGAAAGAAAUAGAAGAAAACCGUACAAAACCUUUUGUUACUUACAAACACAUACCAUCCUAGAAACAGUAUGCAUGCCAUCAAGGGGAAGAGCUGAAAGAUUGUCUUCAACACAAAAUAACUAUAGUCAUACCUCAUCUUUUUUAACAUGUAAAAACGACCAUUUCAUUCGGCAAAAUUUACCACCCUAGUCAUGAAGAGCAUGAUAUUCAAAAAGCACAUCACUCUCAAACGUACUUUUCAUGCACAUGGCAAGGUGCUUAUAUCAUAAAAAUUAUUGCUUAUAUCACUUAACGUAAUUAGCCAAUAAAAAAUGUUUUUAUUAUCGACAAAAAUUUAGGUCCAAACAUUUUCAUGAGUCAUAAAAGUAUCUUUUGUUCAUUUGUUAUUGUUAGCGAUUUUAGUGGAAAUGUUUGUCAAAUUCAUUUUCCACAAGACAAACACACCCGUAAUGUCAAAUAGCUUCAAUGUUUAAAACUAGGAGAGGGAAAUUUGAAACAGACGUUUUACUUUAGUUUUUGCAUGUGUGAAAAUGAGAAAACACCGUCUCUGUCUUCCGCGGUGUUGCUGGGUCAUUGGAUGUGGGAACCAAAGAAGAUUUGCGUAAAAAAUUGAAUGCAGUUCUAGCGGAUAGUUUUCAAUUUUCACCCAUACUACGACUUAACAGUGGAUUAAAUUACAAAAAAGGUAAUAAAAUCAUAGCAGCUUGACAUAUUUCAUUCCAUAUAUAUAAUUUGCAGCUUGCUUAAAUUAUAUUUAAAAGAAGGUAAUGAAGGAGGUGAUGUAUACUCAUAUUUAAAUCAAUCUCAGUUGGUUAUUUCUGUGGAAAGCAUAAAACUUCCAAAUCAUGAUCGUUAGCUAAUCAUAUUUCAUAGCGUGAGGCGAGGGAAAGCAAGUCAAAGUCAUCCUUCAUCUUGCUCGCUUCAUUGCAUUUCCCAAGUCCUCUCUUUUAACCAAAGAAAGGGACAUGACAAAUGCGGACGAAACCUACUCCAAAAAAUUAAUAAAUAAAUAAAAGACUAGUCAACGUUCAACUUUGGACUGAUUCUUGUUCUUCCCCUAAAUUUCCUCGAAAGUGUGUGAAUGUGAGGUAAUCAUGUAUACCUAUCUCUAGGGGACAUCAUAAUUACAAACACUUAGGUUAUGUUCACGGCGAGACAAGAGACGGUCUUUAUUGUGGAAAUGUUGCAUAGGAUUAAUUUAUAAGUGACACCAACGGACAGUGCUAAUCAUAAUUUGGAGCUUUUGGAUGAAAGUGUGGCUACUUGUGUUUUCUAGUAAGACUUGAUAUAGGGUUCUCAUAGUUUUUCAUAGAUAUUUUAAGAAAUUUUGAUGUUUGUUGUAAAUUUGAUAUGCACUGAACUUUUCAUUUUGUUUAUUAACUCCAAGUAACUCUUAUUUAUCUAUACAUUUGCUGCUCUAUAACUAUACUUUUUUCUUUUUCCCCUUGAAAUGAAAAGGAGUGACCUAACAUAAGUCAUGAUACAUGAAUGUGAACACAAGAAUAUGUGAUGCAUUCAAUUGCUAGCCUCAUGAAAGGUUUGAAGAGGGUCGACAUUGAUUUGUCAAGCUAUCGGUUGCUUGGAAUAUACAUCAAUAUCCUAAUAAAAUUCGUCAAAUUUUCAUCUUUGUCCUAAUUCAUAAUGUGCUUUCUUCUCUCAUGCUUGCUUUGCUCAUGGUGAGUUUAUUGAGUCCACGUUAGUCCAAUUAUUUUCAUUGAUCCAGGGAACAAGAGUAUGAGAAUGCUAUUAAAAGGAGUAACAUGAAAAACUAACAAGAUUUUUGCCUUUUGCCGAGGAUCAAACUUGUCAUUUUCCGGCCUAACAUAUAACGAACCGUUAGACUGAUUUGGAAAAUUCUGAUUUCAUCGGCUUUUAUUGGAUAGAAACUACAUAAACCAAAGGUAUGUCGGUGCUCUAUCACGUGUCUUCCGGAGCAAUACUAAGAUAAAUGGAGUACUAUUGGCUCUUUGACCCUUCCCUCUUUCAUCCAUUGACUGAGAUAAGACAUCAGUGGCCCAAAACACAAAAGAACAAAAAGGAAUAAAUUCAGUGACACCCGUACCAACAUAUAUAAGACUUCAAAAUGAGUUUAAAAAUCCUGGGUCCUGCUGCACAAUAAACAAAAGCAAAGGAUCAACACAUGAAGAAAACAGAUCCUUUACCUUCACCAGCCAAAAGAUUGCAAGGUCAGUAGCAAAUGCAGGAAAGAGAUCCAGAAGAAAACCAUAUGAAACCGUUUAUUACUUACAAGCAUAUACCAUCCUGGAAACUAUAUGCAUGCCAUUAGCGGGAAGAGCUGAAAGAUUGUCUUUAACACAAAUUAACUAUAGUCAUGCGUCAUCUUUUAACAUGUAAACACAAUGAUUUCAUUCGGCAAAAUUGGCCACCCAUGUCAUGAAGUGCGUGGUAUUCUCAAAUUGGAGAGUCGCAAGCUGACAAAGCCAUUUAAAGGAUCGCAGCCUUCAGCCACUAAUCAUAUGUGAAAGACAGCCAAAUGUCAUGUGAAUCAGCAACUACUGUCCUAUUCGGCAAUACUAACAUUUCAGCCUUCCCGUUGUUCACAUGAAGAGCACAGACAAUCAUAAUGAAAUGAGAGAAAGCAGUGUGCGAUGAUAUACUCUAUCUUCAAGCCAACUUUGAAUGGUAGUUGCAGAUCACUUCUUUUAGGAACACUCUUGGAGAAAUCGAGCAUUUGAUGAUGUUAACCUACAUUCUGACAAAUACAGGUCAUUGUCUUCAUUUUCAGAGUCUACAGCAACCCAACCAUCAUGAUUCACUUCACCAUUGGAUUGCACAGCUGCCACAUCACUAUUAUCCUCUUCUGCAAGGAAAUGGAGAUCCACAAACAUUGAAGACACAUUCUGUGAGAGAGUAGUUUCUAAAUCUGGAUCGGCAUGGUGAGUAUAACUGAAAUGGAAUGGAAGUCCUGAUCUCCAACCAUUGAAGAGGGGAGAGACUGUGAACUUCUAAUAACUCUGUAGAGAUUUUGCUGACUACUUGCAAUUUUCACUAAAGACAUGGAACUACCCUGAACAGGAUAAGACUCCUCAUUAAGACAUGCUAGUCGGCAAAAGCACUCAUAAUUAGAGGCAGACAACAAGAUGGCUCAAAAAGAACAUAAAUGUUCCUACAGUUGACAGCAACAAGGUAUUUUAGUAACUAAAAUAUCACCUUUCCUGGAAGUUGAUUGAUCAAACCAUUUGCGAUUCAAAAUAUGAAUCUGACCCCAUCUUUUAGCGACCUUGUAUUUAUCUUCUGGAGCUUACAGCCAGUCAAGGGCAUCGUAGUGGUACACACAGUGCUACAGAGCAUCAUAUAUGAGGCCAAUAGAAAGAUUCAAUGGUAAUAACAUUGCUGAGCAAUGUGCUUUGAGCAACCAACAGGCAGUCCUAACUCACACUGGAAAAGCGAGAACUGGCUGAGGAUCUUUUAACAAUUAGCGGUUCAAAUUGUACGUUGUUUAACACCUUGUUUCCUUGAACCACAGAACACAAUUCUUUAGGACUGAUUUAGAAGUCAAAGUCAAUGAUAUUGUCAUGCCAGGAAGUUUCACUGUUUCUCAUCGUAAUCAAAUUCCCAAGUAAAAGGACAUUACCAAAAACCAAGAUUAAAUCAAGCAUAGCUAUUUCCUAUUUCAAACUAUAAUCAUCACUAAACCUUGAAAUGAUAUAGAUCUUCUUUUCAAACUCUUAAAUGUGUUUUCAUAUGCGAAGACAAGAUAAAGAUAUGUGCAUUUUGACACAGUGAUCUGAUAUCAAAAGGAAAAUAUGCAAGCAAAUCACUGGACCUUAAUCUUGAAGAAGAAAGGAUAUUUCUGCAAUUAAAUGAGUGCACUUCCUGGUCAAUUCUGCAGAAUAUCUCCCACCAUUUUGUGUAAUAUGCUUCUGAAUCUCCUUCCGUGCGUCUAAGAUCAUGAAGGACAUAAAAAUUGAAGAACUGGAGGACAACCAACAGCAGCAGCUAUAUCAAACAAUCAGUACCUGCAGGAAUUCCUGCGAAGUUCAUUGUCAAUCCAGAAAAUGGAAGAACUCUAUAAGACUCUUGAGGUACAACACGGUGCUCAAUACGGCAUUGGUAUAACCAAUUAAUGGUGACAACAGGUCACUUCAGAACAUUUAAAGCCCACUGUACGAUGACAACAUUAAUUGAUAAAUACAAUUUAUCUCUCAAGAUGGGAUUCAUAAAAGAAUUUGCACAGAGAAUAUUCAAAAAUAUAUAUAUAUAUAUAUAUGAAGGAAACUCUUCCUACGUUCAGCCAACUCAAUCAGAGUACUACCCAUGAUGCUUCCCAUACUCAGUGAAAAAGCAUAAUGAAUCUCAUUUAAAGUGAAUUUAACCUUAACAAGAUACAACAAAUUUGCAACUUUUAACUAAAUUCAAAUUAUAAACUCCAAGACUUGAACCUUGUAUUUUGCAGCCAAAAUAUUCUUCGCAAUUACGAAGCUAACAUCUACUGAAGUUUUGGUUUGUAGAACUCCCCCCAUUGAAGCUACCGAUUUCUCAAUCUCAGCCUGCAGAUUCGCGGAAAUGGUGAAACAAUAAUAGAGACGACAAGCUGCCACCAUAUUUGUUCAGACAAAAGCAUGUCUGAAGGCACAACAAUCAAGGGUCACAUUGAAGGAUACAUGGAUAAGGAUAAGUGACGCUUCACACUGAAGUUUUGGUUUGUAGAACUCCCCCCAUUGAAGCUACCAAUUUCUCAAUCUCAGCCUGCAGAUUCGCGGAAAUGGUGAAACAAUUAUAGAGACGACAGGCUGCCACCAUAUUUGUUUAGACAAAAGCAUGUCUGAAGGCAAAAGAAUCAAGGGGUCACAUAGAAGGAUACAUGGAUAAGGAUAAGUGACGCGUCACACUGAAUUCGAGAGACAAGUUACGACAAAGAUUACACGCUAAAAAAUCAUACAAGGCCAGGCUUAUCUAGGAACAGGCAUACCUCCUCAUCCACCUCAAAUCCAGAUGCAAGGACUUCGACAUUAUCUAUCGCAAGACAAACAAAUAUACCCUUUUUGAGGUAGAAGUCUCCGUUCUUUCGCACACGAAACCACCACACACUGCGGACCUGCAAGAAAUAUCCCCCAUCAAAAGUCAACAUUUUUUUCCCAGGCAGAAGAACUCCUCUCGACUUGCUUGACCAGCACAUUGACCCCAAUGCCUCCGCUUUCGUUUCUCAACUACAAGUCCUGGUUUAGCAUUUAGCAGCCUGGAGGAAACACCAGAAGAUAAGACUAGGACGAGAACAAGAUCUUUACCGACUAGCUUACAACCCUUUCGCCUGAAGAUCCUCGAGCUUCUCAAGACGUAAAACAACGUCAAACCCAAUUUUCAAAAUGAACCCAAAAGCCGUUAGCGCCGCCCAAUCCCAACGUACUCACGUGAUCGGGGAGAAGAAACAGCUUGAAAAUCGCGGGGCCCACUCCUGGAAGGGUCGCGGCGGAGGAAGGCCUCAGCUCCGUUCAGCUUGAGCGCGUCGAACGGCUCGGGAGGCACUCAAGUUCCUCGACACGAACACGGUCGCCCCCCUGAAACGGCUUCAUCUUCGCCAUUUCCUAUCUUCCUUCGCCGGCAGCGACUUCCUCAACAGAUGAUCGGUCUCGUUGCUAAGGAUUUCUGCGAAAUCCAAAUGCAUGUGAGAGAGAGAGAGAGAGAGAGAGAGAGAGAGAGAGCGACGAUGAAGCGCGAAGGGAAUCGGAAGUUGGAAGAGGAUGAAGGAGGAGCGACUUGGGGAAGAAUUGAGUGGAGUGAGCUUUUUCUGAAUUCUUCCCCAAAUUGGGAUGGAUUAGGGUAUGAGAAAGCGAGGGAAUGGGGUUUUUCUUGCGCUCUUUUCGGAUUUUCCUUUUUAAUUCCCCUUUUUUGUGCUAUUAAUUUUGUGGAUAAUUUCUCAAAAACCCCCCAGCUUUCACGCCGUUGCAUGACUGCUCUCGAACUGUGAAAAAGUUACGCACUAUGCCCGCGCCGGCGACACGAGCCAUGAAAGAAAAUAAAAGAAAAGAAUAAAAGCAAAGAAUUCAAAAAGAAAAAAUUUUAAAUUGCAAAAACUUAUCCAUGUCAACAUUGACAUGAUAAAUGAUCAAUAUUCACAUUAGCAAUUUUCAAUCAAAAUUAGUCAAAAGAAUUACAUUAACGAUUUGUCAAAAGUUUUAAAAUUAAAUUGACCAAAUUAAAAAAUUUAUAAUCGAAUUGACAUCCGUUGAUGAUUAUUUUGUCAAUUUUCCCUAAGAAUUUAGUCACAUGUCUAGAUCAAAACUUCACAUGAAGUUUUUAUUGUGGACCCAUAAGUGCCGAAAAAUUACAUUGGAUCAUGGAUAACACUUUUUAUCAUGUUUCAAGAGCAGCCAAAAAUUAGGGCUUCUUGGCGAUAAAUCUUUUUAUAGGUUUUUUUUUUUUUUUUGGUUGAUAUCUUUUUAUGGAGUUCAACUCUACAUUAUAUGACCAACCAAAAGAAUUUUAGAGACACUUUCAGAGCAAAUCCUAAUAUUAAUUAUAACAAUAAACGUGAGUCAAAACUUUCAUUUCGUACAUUUAAAUCCCAAAAUUUGUAACUCCAACAUAUGUGGGUCCUUUUGUUAAUUCUGUCAAUGGAUGGAUAAUAACAAGUGGAUUUUUUCUACUCACGGGUCAUUUUCUGUCUGCUAAAACCUAAUAGGACUAAUGGGAAGACUAAAGUGAGGGCUCAACCUAAUACAACAAGUUGAGGGCUCAGGUGCACGAAAUGAAAGUUUUAAGACCCAAAUGUAUCGUCGUGACGUCUUUUAAAUUGACUUACAAAUUCAUCAUGCUAACAAAACUUAUGAUCAUUCCUUAUACUUGACUUUGGAAAUAUGCUUGCUAUGUUUGCACAUAUAAUCUUGGGACAAAUAUAAUAACUACAAAAAUCCAAUGAAUCAAUCCAUGACAUCUUAGGUUGGACAUGAGUAUCGCGAUAUUGGACAGAGCAUUCAGAGCCCCUUAAAACUUGCAGUCUUACAAGAUGAAAAAGGAAGCCUGGUAGUAGGAGUAGAUGUACAAUUAGAUCCAAUCUAUACUUUGGGACUUCGGAAACUAUAGAGGAGGUGGGACCCCUAAAUUCCAACACACCUCGUACAAAGAAGAUUUUGAAUGAGCCAUCAAGCUGCAUAUAAACAAUUUCCAUAUAGGUAUAUUGGUUUAUAUGAUAUGCAUUCAUUUAAUUAACCCUACGGCUAUAUCCAUGUUGAGUUUGUGACGCUACUCUUCUUGAAGUACCCUAUGAUAAGUCUACUAUUCAUGAGAAAUGUCUUUGACCUCAGUUUCUAAACAAGUUUGUAUUAAGGUUUCUACGGGACUGCUAGACUAAUUCAUCGGUGUGUCCAUGGUCAGCAUUAAUAUAGGAGCUGACCAAUGGAAUCAACUAGGCUCCACGUGAUCAAACAGUUAAACACCGAAAAGUUUCGAGAAAUCUCGAUUUGUUUCCCUUGUCACUCCCAACUUAUGCACCUCGUAAGGUACUUCAUUACAGAAUAACCAAGAGUACCUUGUCCACCAACUAACAAAACUUAUCGGUAAUUGCCGCUCUAUAUUGAUGACACAGAAGACGAUCUCCAAAAUAAACUCAAAAAAGGCAACUAAUUUUAAGGCAAAUAGGAAUUUACAGCUCUUGCCCCAAAAAAAUCAUUGCUGGAGAUAUGAGGCAUCCGCAUUGCCAAUUAACUACAAAGGCAAUGACAACCAGUCAAUCAAAUGAAUUCAAUUAGCUAUUGAAAAGUUCAACAAAAGGAAAAUGAACUUAUGUCGUAAGGCACAUCUUAAAGGUAAAUGCUUUUUAAUUCUCGCUAUGUAGCAUUAACUAGACUAUUCAAAACUUGGAUGUGCAAUUGGUUGAAGGUUUAUUUUAGGGGAAAGAGAGGGAUUGGAUUUGGUAGAUACGAGUCUUUCCUCUCUGGACUUCUUUAAGUGGAAAGGCAUUUCAUUCAAAUCCACCUCCGAUUUUCUCUUAAUCUUCUUCUACGGCGAUAUCGCCUUUCCUUGUCUUGCAUCUUCCGAGAAGGUGCUCGAAGUUAUCUUGAUUUCCUCUUGCUUAAUUCUAUCUGAUCUGUAAUAGGUUAUUAUGAUUCUUUUAGCACCAAAUGAUGGUGAUGAUAAUGAUUGAUUACAGCUACUUUUAUACAACGAAAGGGAGCUUUUCUUUUCCAUCCAUUCCUUUGUUUGCCGUUUCCGAUGCGGAGCACCACAUGUAAUCAUGGCAUACAAUUAAAUAUGCUCAGAUUGGAGAGAUGGAACGGCUGGGAUUCUGGUCCCAGAAUCAGGUCAACAUGGUAAGGAUCGAAAGCCUUUUUGCAUAAAGGAAUUCUGGGCAAUGAGUCAGCCCUCACUCCCCACCUUUCUUAUAGAUCCAUCACAUCUUUACUAAAUUAGGGCAACGUUGUUGUUACUAUAGGUGCAAUAAUUUUGAAGAGAUGCCCAAAAAAAAAAAAAAAUCGCCAGGCCUCCACGGAAUGAAGAGUUAUUUUCUUGCAUCAGCUUUAGUCUUGAGGCCCGCACUGCGUGCAUGCAUGAUCACAAAUGGAUAACGUAUGAAGAGAAAAGUAUUUUUUUUAUUGAGCGGAUGUGGAGUGCAUGCUAAUUACACACAGGUAUAAUUUGGUGAUUAGUUGGUAAGGAGACGGUGUGUGAUUUUAACUUUCAACAGGAAGGGCAAUUUUGGAAAAAAAAGAGAUCGACAAAAUAAUGUUAUGGUGAAAACAAAGAGGUGCAAGUGUUGUGAGAUUCAAACCUAGGACCACGAGCGAUAAGGAUUGAAUGGUGAUGAACUUGUUUUGCCGUUUGGAGAUAGAUCUUCAUAUAUCCCUCAAAAGCAUGUUUCGGGUUGGUUUUUGAACGGGUCAAAAAUAGUUCGGCUCAAAUAAACUCAUUUUAAUCCGUUUAAUCCAUUUACAUACAAUAUGUAUAUAGUGACUCAGAUCCAACAAUGUCCCGUGUUGCUAAAACAUGUCUUUAUUUAACCCAAAUCUAGGAAAAUUCACACCCAAAAUCGAGAUGGGUUGGGUCAUAAACCCAUUUAGUACCUCAUCAUUUAUUUAUGGAAGAGGGAGGUGAGGGGUUCAAAUCCUCACAUUCUCGGGGGGAUGGGGUGGGGACGCGUAAGUUUCAGAAAUGGGUUUCGACUCCCACGCCCUGCAAGAGGCAAGGCAAAAGUCUAAGAGUGAGUGUAGAGUAGGAAUAGAGUAGGAAUAGAGUAGGACUAAUAAAAAAAAAUAUUCAAGAGAGAUAAAAAGACAAAAACACGCCCGGAUCGGAUUCGCACUCAGCACUGUUUUCGUAGCACCGAUUGCAACGGGCAAAUGGCCCCUUUCCUCGCCCGACCCACGGUCCAUCCCCCACAUUUCUCGUCCGUGGCAUGUGACUCGCAGGUGCAGAGACAGAGAGAGAUUCGACCAUGUGACCCCACCUCCUCGAAUGCCCAGAUCCGCCAGCUUCGGCGCUUUGACUUCAAAGGAAAAAACGACGACGCAGCACAAACCGUUCGGCGUUCGACCUCGGCAGUUCUUGGCAAAGGGGAACGUCAUUUCGCUCUUCCAUCCCCCGUUUUUUAACUUUUCAUCUUUUCUUUAUUUCAGAAAAAAAAAUAAUUUCUUUAUUUCCUUUUUUUUUCCUUCUUCUCGAAUAUGGUUAAAGGCCAAAUCGAAUAUUUCUAAGAAGGCAAAUCCCUAUUUUUCCCCCUCCUCCCCUUUUCCGAGUUUUCAUACAUUCUUUUUUCUGCUCCGCUUGGGACUUUUAUGCAGGACGAAAUUUCCUUUCCUUUUUUUUUUUUUUUUUGUUAAUUAAAUGAAAGAGAUCUUGAAAAGGGAAAGUCCGUCAAAUUGAAGCCAUGUGUAUCCGGGUAAACUUCUUGUUUUCCAUUUUCAGUUUUUGGCAAUAAAAUUAUUUUUGAAUAAUGGAGAAACCUUAAUUUUUGCAAAAAACGAGAACGAAUCUCUCGAGAUGGAUUAGAUGCGUUGUAUAAAAAGAAGUAAUACAAAUGUUUUGGCCACUUAUUAGGAUUUUGACUUAUGUUUUAUUCGGUUUACAAUGUUAGAGGGUUAUUCUUGGGGAUUUUUCUGAAAUUGGAUUAUCACCAAGAAAGAAGUACGAGUAAAUUAUAAUUUAUAAGACCGGAUCAAUAGAUUUCAUGCAAAGUCUUCUUUCGGUUUUUUGGUCAAAAAAUUUAUGCAGAGAUUUGAUGCUGUAGAGCCUGAAUAUCUGGCGGAGAAUGCAAACUUUGGUAAGCAAUGCAAUAACACAAACCACAAUUAAGGAACCAACAAAAUGCAAAUUCUUCUGAACCCCUUGCAUCAAAUAUUAAUAAAUCUGGUAAAAAAAGCCAUUAACAAGUCAGUCCCGUUGCGCAAAGAAACCGUUAAAGAUGACAAAUCAUUCAAAUUUGCCUAGUCAUGUGCACCAGCAGUGAAAGCCAUGAAAAGAAGAGGGCAGUGAAAUAGCUCUGAGCUUCAUGGCUGAUAAGAUUCAAAGAAAUCAUAUCACACAGUGUCACUCUCCUCCCAUCAGCUGAACCCAAAGAAAAAAAAAAAAGACAAAAUAAAAACGGAAGGAAUUGGAGAGAAAGGAGGUGGGACCCAAGAAAAUGAAGGGAAGUGCUUGGAUCAAUGCUUCAUAAGAGAGCCUGGCAACAAGGCAGUUUACAGCAUCUCAUGUUGAAACAAAGCAUAUGUGAAAUUCAAAUCCAAGAUCUAACUGUGACUUUUAGAAAAUACGAUUGCUGAAAUAGCUACGUGUUAGGGAAAAGUCUACGAUACAAAUAAAAACUGCCAAGUUCUGAAGAAAAUUAUGUGACAUGACCAAUGAGGCCUUUCAAUUGUCAAAAACACGUUAAUUUCCAUUUUCUUUAGUGUGGCGCAUGUGUUUGAUUAAACCAUCACAUCUUACUAAAUUAGGGCAACGUUGUUGUAAUUAUAGUUGCAAUAAUUUUGAAGAGACACCCAAAAACAAAAAACAAAAAUCGCCAGGCCUCCACGGAACAAAGAGGCAUUUAAUUGCAUCAGCUUUAGUCUUGAGGCAUGCACUGCGUGCAUGCAUGAUCACAAAUGGAUAACGUAUGAAGAAAAAAGAAUUCUUUUUAUUGAGCGGAUGUGGAGUGCGUGCUAAUUACACACGGGUGUAAUUUGUUGAUUAGUUGGUAAGGAGACGGUGUGUGAUUUUAACUUUCGACAGAGGGCAAUUUUGGAAAAAAGAGAUCGAUAAAAUGAUGUUAUGGUGAAAACAAAGAGGUGCAAGUGCUGUGAGAUUCAAACUUGCGACCACGAGCGAUAAGGAUUGAAUGGUGAUGAACUUGUUUUGCCGUUUGGAGAUAGAUCUUCAUAUAUCAAUCAAAAGCGUGUUUCGGAUUGGUUUUGAAACGGUUCGAAAAUGAUUCGGCCCAAAUAAACUCAUUUUAAUCCAUUUGCAUGUAAUAUGUAUAUAGUAACUCAUAAGAUAACCAACAUGUCCUCUAUUGCUAAGACAUCUCUUUAUUUAAUCCAAAUCUAAGAAAAUUCAUACCCAAAAUCGAGAUAGGCCGGGUUAUAGGCUGGGUUAUAAACCCAUUUAAUACCUUCUCAUUUAUUAUUUACGUUUACGAUCUAGUUUGACAUGUCUAGAUCUUCAAUAGGGAUAAAAAGACAAAAACACGCCCAGAUCGGAUCUGGACUCAGCCCGUUUUCGCAGCACCGAUUGCAACGAGCAAAUGGCCCCUUUCCUUGCCCGACCCACGAUCCAUCCCCCACGUUUCUCGUCCGUGGCACGUGACUCGCAGGUGCGGAGACAGAGAGAGAUUCGAAAGCAUCCGGUUUCCAUGUGAACCCCCCAUCGAACGCCCAGAUUCGCCAGUUUCAGCGCUUGGAGUUUAAAGGAAAAAAUGACAACGCAGCACACGAAUCGUUCGACCUCGGCAGUUCUUGGCAGAGGAAAACGUCGUUUCGCUCUUCCGUCCCCCGUUUUUUUUUUAACUUUUCAUCUUUUCUUUAUUUCCUUUUUUUUUCCCUUUUUCUCGAAUAUGGUUAAAGGCCAAAUUGAAUAUGUCUAACAAGGCAAAUCCCGAUUUUUCCCCCUCCUCCCAUUUUCCGAGUUUUCAUACAUUCUUUUUUCUCCUCCGCUUGGGACUUUUAUGCAGGAUGAAAUUUCCUUUCCUUUUCUUUUUUUUUUUUUGCUAAUUAAAUGAAAGAGAUCUUGAAAAGGGAAAGUCCGUCAAAUUGAAGCCAUGUAUAUCCGGGUACCCUUCUUUUUUUCAUUUUCAGUUUUUGGCAAUAAAAUAAUUUUUGAAUAGUGGAGAUACCUCAAUUUUUACAAAAAAAAAUGAGAACGAAUAUGAUGGAUUAGAUGUGUUAUAUAAAAAGAACUAAUACAAAUGCUUUGGCCGCUUAUUAGGAUUUUGACUUAUGUUUUAUUCGGUUUACAACUUAGAGGGUUAUUCUUGGGGAUUUUUCUGAAAUUGGAUUAUUGCCAAGAAAGAAGUACGAGUAAAUUAUAAUUUAUAAGACCGGAUCAAUAGAUUUUAUGCAAAGUUUUCUUUUGUUUUUUUUUGGUCAAAAAAUUUAUGCAGAGAUUUUGAUGCUGUAGAGCCUGAAUAUCUGGCGGAGAAUGCUAACUUUGGUAAGCAAUGCAAUAACACAAACCACAAUUAAGGAACCAACAAAAUGCAAAUUCUUCUGAACCCCUUGGCAUCAAAUAUUAAUAAAUCUGGUAAAAAGCCAUUAAAAAGUCAGUCACGUCGCGCAAAGAAACCGUUAAAGAUGACAAAUCAUUCAAAUUUGCCUAGUCAUGUGCACCAACAGUGAAAGCCAUGAAAAGAAGAGGGCAGUGAAAUAACUCUGAGCUUCAUGGCUGAUAAGAUUCAAAGAAAUCAUAUCACACAGUGUCACUCUCCUCCCAUCAGCUGAACCCAACAAAAAAAAAAAAAAAAGACAAAAUAAAAACGGAAGGAGUUGGAGAGAAAGGAGGUGGGACCCGAGAAAAUGAAGGGAAGUGCUUGGAUCAAUGCUUCAUAAGAGAGCCUGGCAACAAGGUAGUAUACAGCAUCUCAUGUUGAAACAAAGCAUAUGUGAAAUUCAAAUCCAAUAUCUAACUGUGACUUUUAGAAAAUACGAUUGCUGAAAUAGCUACGUGUUAGGGAAAAGUCUACGAUACAAAUAAAAACUGCCAAGUUCUGAAGAAAAUUAUGUGACAUGACCAAUGAGGCCUUUCAAUUGUCAAAAACACGUUAAGUUCCAUUUUCUUUAGUGUGGCGCAUGUGUUUGAUUAUAUGGUGGAGUGGGUGGGUGUGCAUUGGGGUUUAGUGGAGGAAACUUGAAGCGAAAAGGUUCAAAACAAUGUGAACCUGAAAAGCCUAGCCCCUCUAACCCAGGGGUAUCAGCAAGAAAAAUUCUACAGCCUUGACCCCCCUUAGCCUAUCCCAAGCAAAGGUGGCAAAAAUGGGUCAAAGACUAACUUUUUAACUCACACUUAGUGGAAUCAUUGGAUUUGCCCCGGUGGCUAUGUUUCUCACAUGAGAAGGGGGAGGCGGGGAGUUCGAAUCCCCCAUUUUUAAGGAGUCGAAGUAAAAACGAUUUAGUUUUAAAUGUAGGUUUCGAGUUCCACACCUUGCAAUGAGGUAGAGUAAAAGUUUGAAAGUGAGAGUUAGAGUAAUCAACUCUUACUUAGUAGGCUGGGUAUUAUUUGUGCUGGUUUAAAUUUUAAGAGCGUAUUAUUAUGCUUCAGAGUAGCAAAGCCCAACUUUGUCUUGGCCCAGCUAGCUAAUCUUCAAAAGUGUAUCCGCAGCCCACAUCCCUAAAUGGAGUUGGGAACGUGAGGAUGUGAUAAAUAAAUGGACGUCACCGGGGUUGUAUUUAUUCCUCGCUAGUUCCACACGCUAACGAUUUCAUCUAAAUCCAAUAUAUUAUAAAAUGAUACGACAUCACUGGUUUAUUCUCUUGAACCUUUAAAAUUUUAAAUAAUUGAUUGAUAUAUAAAGCUAUAAAUGUUAGAUGACACCAAAGAAGAAGCGGAUGCUCCCUCGAUGCUCCCUUCUAUGGCGCUCUUGGUUUUUCGUCUUGAGAUGAUUGAAUACAAGGAUAGAAAGAAGAACUAGUGUAGUGAGCACACACAAAGGAAUGAUGUGUUGUGAAAUGAAAUAAUGUCUCUUUCUUGUUUCCCUUGCUCUGGCUUUGCCCUUUUCUCCAUGGAAGUGGUGGAAAAGUAUUAGACAAUAUAAAAAAUAAGAAUUAGUGGAAAUUUAUUGAAAAAGAUAUUAAAAAAAAAAAAAGAUCGAUUGUUUGAGACAUGCGAGUACUAUUCUUGAGGAUAAUUCCACCUCUCGAAGUAUGAAAUUCAGUACAAUAGGCUCUAGAGGUUAUCCUCACAAGAUAUAACUCUAGACAGAAUAAUAAAUGAAAUGGGAACAUAUUAUGUGUAUAGCAUAGCCAAAAAAAGGGAAAUAUAUUUGAAUUAUGCGAAUUCAAUGUAUCUCAUAUGAUUUUGGUUUAUAGUUUAAUCUUGUAUUCGAAUGAAAGAGAGAGCUAUUAAUAAAUGAUUAUAAAUUAAUUGAUAUUAAUAAAACGAUGACCGUUAUAAAUUAUAAUUUGAUCACGUCAUAAACGAAAGAGAGAACCCAUAAUUCUCCUUUGCACUUGGUAAAGUCUUGUGAUCUUUGUCUUGGUAAAUUUCCUUACUCAUCGCAACUUUUCUUAAUCAAAUGAUAAUUUGAUUACGUCCAUAACUUUCCUUUCAUGUAUUGAAGUGAUGACUGAAAAUCGAUUUUGCAAAAUAGACUUGGCAGAUCAUGUUUUAACCCUUUCUAUCCAACGGUCUGUGUUGAAUGUAGGACUAAUCCCAUAAAAGAGAGUUUUGACUUGUGAAAUUCCCGUCCCCAUCGGGAGGUUUUGCCCAUAAUAAAGUAGCUUUUUAUUAUUAUUUUUGCCAAACAGUCAAGUAGUGUUUGGAAAUGCUAUUUUUCUUAAAGUUUUGAAAAUCAUUCCACUGUAAUAUUUAUAUUUAUAUGUAAAUUAAGGAAUAGUGUUACUUUGUCAAUGUUGUCUUUCACUGACGCACAGCAACAGACAAGUCUGUAACUCUAGUUUGAUAUGCAAGUCUUCCGUUUCCAGAAUAACCUUCACACAUAAUCCUAUCUCCCGAGGUUAACGAUGAUUUAACCCCAAGCGUGUCAAAUGAAGCCCGGGGUGCAAAAUAGAGCUUAGACAAACUUCAGGGGCGAAAGAGGAAAUUUCGAAAAAAAAAAUUGAAAAAAUAAGGCUCAAUCUCUCCCAUUCUCCGGCGUAUAUAUAAAAAUAGGUAGCGGAAAACAUCACCAUUCCCGCCAUCGCUGGGAACGUCUUUUGAAAAGAGCACUUCGAAGCACGCGGUCUCUAGAGAGAUUAGCGAUCGUCUCGAUUCAACUGCGGCUCGUGCAUCAUCGAUCGAUCGAUCGAAUUGUUCGAACAAGUUGAGACUCCAUGGAGGAUCGGGGCUUGGAAGAGGUAGAGAAAGCUCAGGGCUGCUGAGCUUGACUCUCGAGUUCGGCUUCGGCGAGCAGUCCGCCAGCAAGUGCUUGGGACCGUCUCGUUUCCCUCUACGGUAACUCGAAUCGUUAUUUCAUCGCCCAUUUUUUAUGCCGAUUAGCGUUGCGGAGGUUGUGUAGGUAUUUUGGCGAUUGAUUGUGUUGCGUGGAUGAUUCGUGAAUCGAUUGAUUGUGCAGUCCUGAAUACGAAGAUUUAUUGGGGAUAGUUGUCAUUCUGAUGAUGGCUGUGGAAUGGUCUGCCUGUUGGAUGUGAAUGCACCAGAGCUAGUUAAAUGUAGUUCAUUGAUCUCGUCCCUAUUUCUCAGUGGUUUUUGCGGAGCAGUCUUAUUGACUUGCGAAAUGUCUCACUUAUUUCUAAACUGACUGCAAAUUUACACAUGGUGUCUUGCCUACAUAUAAAUAUGGUGUCUCACUGAACUAAGUGCAAAUAACAUAUCGUAGAUUGUGUUUAUUUGAUCUCUUGUUUUCCAUGGAACUUGCAAAAUCAUCUCUUUCUUCUUUUGGUUUUCUUAACAUGAGAAGGUCGAGAGUUUAUCAAGUGGAGCACUGUGGCGAUGGCUUCCUAGCAAACUUGCUGAAAUGAUGCAAGAUUCUGAGGAUUGGGAUGAUUUACAAGCUGCGAAAAAUCAAAAGCUUAUGGAGGUUUGAUUGUAUGUUUGGCCAAGACAUUCGUAAUGGCAGUGAAUGCAACGUUUCGCACUAUGUCGAUAUUUUAGAAGAUUCUCCACAACCUGAGGAAAACCAAACUUUUCUUGAGGUGGAUUCCUCUACCAAUAGUGAAGACGAGGACAACAUAUUUGGCGGCAAAAUGGGUAGGAAAUCCACAUGCUAUAUUCCUGACCAAAGUAGUACUUCAGGCGAUUCUUCCACUCAACUUCUGGCGAGACAAUCUCUAGAAUCCAUGUUAUGCUUCUCCCAUUGACAUAGACAACACACGCCAAACCACUUAAAUCACUUUAUCACUAUUCUUUUCUCAUAUAAGAUGUUCUCUCCUCGAUCUUGCUUGUGAUUCCGCACACAGCAAAGGACCUACACUAUGUACAUGUACAAAAGCAUUAAUUACUCAUGGGCCCUCUCAUACAAUCAAAUGUCGAAUAGACACCCCUAGCGUUUGCCAAUUACUUCCACAAUCUUCAAGAUCCAAAAUGACAUAUUGGAACUCCUUGGUCAAUAAAGAAGUUGAUUUUAGUUUUGGAUGAUGUACGAAUGCCUAUAUUUCGCAAAUGCUUUGAGAGUAUAGCAAAUCAUUAAAGUCUGGACUUUAGCAAUCCACCAUUAUCGGUAGGAAUAUUUUGUGUAAAUGAAGGCUUGUGAUUUCUUUGUGUACAUUCACCACAAACAUAUAGGACAAGUUGUGUUGACACCUAAAUUUUGACGGCCCAUUUAUUUAUUUAGUGCAUAGAAAAUUAAAGGUUAAGUUUAUCCCUAAAAAAAAAAAUCAAUUGCAUAACAUAUAGUUUAGAAGCAUUUUACAUUAUUCUUUUAUCACUUUUGCAUUUGAUCAGCGGCGGAUGAGCUUCACCUUUACGAGUUGACAUAAAGGAUUCAUAUUAUUCUUCCAAUAUUCGGUAAUUAUUUCAUAUAUUCAUAUUAGGCGAUAUAUUACAAAAGAUUGGAAGUUUAAGCAUGAAAUAUCAAGAAGAAUAUCACACAUGGGGAUAUUUUGAGCGAUAUAUUCUAUGUCUCAAGACAAGAAAUAUUUCCUAAUCAAAGGAGAUUUCGUGCGUGAGCUGAGAAAGGAAGUGAAAUAAUCCACGAAAAUCAAAGUUAUUCACCUAUAUAAGAGCCGCGUACGGAGAAAAAGAAAAGGAGGCCACACACUUCGAAUAUACGGCCGCACAAGGGGUUUUCUCUCGAGUAGGAAGUUAGGAAAUUCAAGAAAAGAAAAGUCAAAAAGACUUCUUCGCUUUUGCUGAAAGGACGACAGAGAGAACUGCCGAGAGAAGAGAGGGGGAAACGUGGGAUGUGACGUACAGCAGGAUGUGAGGGCUUCAUUCAGCAAAAAAAAGAAUAAUAAAAAAGGAGAAAAGAGCCCCUGUUCAUCUUCAUCCGCGAAGCCGCACACUGCCGGCCUCCCCGGUAGCGCCUCCACCCGCGACGCCUCUGCUCCGACGCCACGCCCACACCACGACGACGCGGUCGCAACCACCAACCACAGCACCCGCACCGCCGUCACGCCCGCCUUGCCUGCAAUCCACUCCGUCUGCUGCGACCCGAGCGCCGACACCGGAGCCGCUCCUGCCCUGCUCCGCCACUCGUCCGCGAUCGCCCAGCGCAGAUCUAUGUUCGCCGAGCCCUUCGCUGUGCCACUGAGACUCCGGUAGCCUGUAGCCCCGCGAAGCCGAAGCCCACUGCGAUUUCGCCCUGCUGCUUCGCCGUUCCGCCCCACGCCGUAGCGACGCCAGCAGCUGCCGUCGCCUGUCCGCCUAGCUCCGUCUCUGCUCCAACCAGCGACCGACGCUGCUCCUGCCCGGGUGCCGUCCCUGUCGGACCCCCCUCACCGGACCGACGGCCGGCUUCCCCUUGGAGACCUACGAGCAAGCCGUGCUCGAGAAGGCAUAAGAAAGAGAAAAAACAAACAAAAGAAAAAAAGAAUUUUUUUAGGUAGUUCUUUAUCCUUUUUUUUUACUUAUUUGCCUUAUUUUGUUAUUUUUGUUAUUUUAUUGCUUUAUUUUAUUUGUUCUCUUGUAGUUUAAUUAUCCUUUAAUGUGAAAUUGAAAUUCCAUGAUAUGAAAUUGCCUUGAAAUUAGUGAUUGUCAGUUCGAUUUUCGAGCUCGAAGUCCGACUCGCAAUUACUUAAAAAAAUUGCAAAUCCGAUCUCCCGCUCGAGAUCCGAUUCGUGAUUUAUGUGAAAUUGGCCAACCCGAUCUCAUGCUCGAGAUAUGGUUCGUCGAUUUGGAUAUCAAUAUGGCUUGAUUUGCUGUGGUGUUACUUAAAUUAGUUUUCUUUAAAAAAAAAUCAAAAAAUGUAGUUUUAGGGUUUGCAUGUUCAUAAUAGGUAUUUUAUUUCGAUUUUUCAAAAAAAAAAUUAAAUCAAUUAAUUUAGGUUGCUAGUUUGUUUAAAACUUGGAUUGCAUGUUUAAUUAUUUGGCAAUUAUUAAUUUCGAAAUUUAAAAAAAGGGAAAAAAGGAAAAACACAAAAAAAGUCAUCAUGCAUUUGUCAUGUAAAAUUAAUGCAUCUUUUGCACUGUCAUUGCAUAUUAGAAUAAAUUGCAUGCUUAUUUAGAAUAAAAACCAUGUGCACGUCAUAUAGAAUUAUGUUCACACAAUGCACGUCAUUUAGUGAUUUUUGUUAGGUCAAUUUAAUUAGAAAUUGUCAGUCAUUAGAUUAAUUUAGAUUGCAUAUUUAAAUGUUGCAUUUCUUUAAUUUUGAAUCUCAUAGAAAAUACAAAAAAAUUAUUUAGAAUAAAUCAUCUCAUGCUUAUGAUAGACUACAUGCUUAGUUAUGUCAUAUUGCUUAGGUCAUAUAGUUAAGUCAUGUGCCAUGUCAUAUCAUUUCAUGUUAAAUUAGUGGCAUGCAUCGCAUAUUGCAUGAUUUUCAUUAAUUAAGUGAAAACAAAAUAAAAAUUGCAUGUUAAUUAGAAAUCAUAUUUAUGAUUGCUGAUGUGAAUUUUAAACUAACAACGCAGAUGCUUUCGUUGCUAUGAGGUAAGUCCUGCAAUUUAUUCAUUUGCUUUCUUGAAUGUUAAAUUGGUGGUUUGCGUACUUGCAUGGUCACCUCACAUGUUAAGGAAUUAAAAUUAAUUCAAGUUUGCUUGCCAAACAAUUUUUUCGAAAUUAAAAGAAUGGUACCGAAAGGGCGUUAGAGAAAUCUAGCGUAACCAAGUCCCUGUACCCAAAUCUCUGGUUCGUAGGGGUAAAGUAAAUCUCCCAUUACUUUACUUGGGUUUCUAAUCGACCCACCAAAAAUAGAUUAGUGGCGACUUCUAAUUAAAAAUCAAUUGCAUGUUAAGAAUUUGAACCUAAGUCGCGAAUUGGUAUGGGCUUGGGAGAGCCCAAGUUAAGUCUAGGCUUAACAAUCCAUUAGUCAAACCCUAGGUGGUUCACACCCGAAAAAAAUUGGUCGCGACAAGUUGCAACAUUGUUUUCAUAAAUUAAUGAUUUUUGUCCAAUGUUACACUUAAAUAGAUUUUGGGUAUCAAUUUAAAGGGAGGUUUUCACCUAAUAAUUUUGUUGGAUAAAUUGGAGUCUCGUAUGGUUUUUACUCUCAAAGUUAGUUUUUCCUAUAUAUGCACAAACUUUUUAGAGUUUGAAAUCAGGUUUUGAUUCAAUGUUAACAUCUCAAUUUUUUAAAACUCGAAGACAAAUUUUCAAAGCUGGCGUUUUAAGUUGGUUCGUAGCAAGAAAAAUUUCUUGUUAAAUAUUUAUGGGUUGUUGAAGGCGUGAAAAUGAGAAAACAUGGUAUUCGUCUUCUGCAGUAUUGCUUGGUAACUGGAAUUAGUUGUUGAAUAUGGAAAAAAAAGAAAUAAUAUUCAUCGUCAGUCGCAAAAAAAACAAUAAAAGAAGAAGAAGAAGAUUUUGAAUAGAAGGCGCAGUUUAAGAAAUUGUUCAAGAAAUUAUGGUCUAUUAUUAAAAGAUAUGCCAAAAAAAAAGGAACAUUAUUACUGUCCAUUAUUAAAAGAUUUGCAUCUUGGAUAAUGUUCCAUUGGUCCAUGAUCAAUGAUUUUUCAAAAAUAGUCACGGGAUUGUUCCGUCUAAGAACCAUAUAUGGGGAUUAUUUUAUUGAUGGCCAAACUUUCGUUUUAUAUUGAUCUAGUCCGAGGAGCACUAAUAAGUCCAAUUUGGCUGAAAAAAGAAAAAUUAAUAAGUUUACCUUACUAGUCACUGAUUAUUUGUCUUGGUACUUUAUAAUGGUUUGAGUGUUGGUCUUUGUUUUUUAUUUUUUCCUCUAGAAAGACCCUUGGUCGUCAUUACAUCUUCUAGUUGGCUAACAUGGAUGUGAGCUUAGAUUGUGACAUUCUUCCCAAGAUUAAGAAUUAAUAAUUGCCUUUUAAAAGUUGGUCGCAACGGAACAAUAAAAAGAACAAAGAAGAUUUCUAAAAGAAGGUAGGCGGUUUAAGAAAUUGUUCAAGAAAUUAUGGUCUAUUAUUAGAAUAUAUGCCCAAAAAUGGAACCCUAUCCACUACCCAUUAUAAAAAGAUCUGCAUCUUGAAUAAUAUUUUAUUAGUCCACAACCUUUGACUUAUCAAAAAUAGUCACAAGACAAGUUAUUGAAGCCAACUAGAUUAUUAUGUGGAAGGGGAUUAUUUUUUUAUAGCCGAUCAUGAUCAAACUUUGUCAUUAUUAUCGGGGCAUGCCUGAGCAGGCACGGCUUGGGCAUGGCUCGCAUGGGCCUAGAUAUUUUAAAAAAUUAAUUUAAGAGAAAUUAAAUUAAAAAAAUUGCAAUACUUUUUUUCAAAUUAUGUAAUAUAAUGAGAAAUUAUUUGAGGGAAAUUAAUAAGGAAAAACACUCGAUUCUUUUAAACCAAAUUGAAACCCAAGUACAUCUUCAUAUAAUUUGAGAAAAAAAUUACACUUAGUGGAGCUCUACUAAUGAUUUCACUCCAGCAAUCGUGUUCUUAGGCACUGUUAGUCGGAAAUCAAUAAUUGUCUAUUGUCCAUACGCCUUGCACAUGCCUCAAAACUGACUUGAUGAUUCUUAUGUACCAUUGGGUCAAGAGUGUUUUACCUGAUUCUUUUUGUGUUUGUGUUUGUGUUUUGCAUCUACGAAUUCCCUUACGUAGAUAGCCAAUAAUUGUAUCAUAAUGAUGCUCAUACUUUAGUCUUUAUCUUAACAUUAUCUCCUCAGCAAAAUGGAUUCUGCUCGAGAACGGCACUCUAAAGAUCAAUGUGGAUGGCUCGUAUGUGAAGGGAGAGAGAAGAGGAAGCAUCGCCGGUGUUUGUAGGGACGAGUCUGGAACACCGUCGCUGGAUUUACCAAGAAAGUGCGGGUUAACUCGAUGGAGCAAGUGGACGCUCUAGCGUGCACACAAGCCCUACGCUUCUCCUCUGCUUAUGAACCCAAGUAUUCUCUAGAGUCAAAUAAUUGGUCAAUGAAAUAUGCAUUUUCAAAUCAAGAAGAGCCGACGUGGAGUAUCCAGCCUCUUAUCUCUAAAGGCAAAUGCCUGCUGGCCCAAUACGAAAGCACCCGUUAGCCCACUGCAGGAGAGAAGCGGACCAGGUAGCUGAUUGUAUCUCUAGGGCCCAUCGGCAAAAAUCCCUUCCCACCAAUUGGGUUUCUUAUCCCUAAAAAAUAUUAUGCGAUCUAAUUUAUUCAGAGGCCCAUUUAGUUUGUAAUCGCAGAGCUACUUAAAGUAUGAAAGAAGUUUAUUUCGAUGAAAAGAAGAUGAACAUUUAGAUUUCUCCACCAUCUCCGAAAUGUCAAAGAACUUACAAAAAUUUUGUAGAAAAACUUAAGUGCAGAAGUUUUCAGUGAUUGGGGCUCUUCUUGAAAUUCUAAUAACUUUAAGAUAACCUGAGUAGAGCUUAAACUUGCACAUCAUCAAGGAACUCAUUGAAUUAGUUAAUUUCAUCCUCUCCAAACACUAUUUUAUGAAUAUGCGGAUUCACGAAAAGACAAGAUUGGCCUAAAUGACGAGAAUACAUCAAUUUGUGCUUCUGCUCUUUGAUUUGAUGGUCUUGUUUGAGAAUCUAGUUAUCUCAUUGAACCUCUCACUUAUCUCCCCCUCAGUGUCUUUACAUCAAACCAUUUUUUUUUUCGCGUGGCUCUCACACUUGCCCAUCCACCACUGCGAGCGAUUGAUUCCAUGAAUCGCUCCGAGUCUUUGCCUUUUUGUGAUAAACAAAUGCAGAAAUGGGGGAUUGCUAUAAGGGCGACGGUGCUUUAUUCUGCUUGAAGUGGAUGAUUAGGAUAAGCCCUUUGCCUUCACCUGCCUAUUUCACGCAACUCCUGGAGGGAUCGUGGAGAAGAUGAAGAAGCAUUGCGCCCCUGCAACUGGCACGACCCGGUCGGAUAAAUUUGAAGGGAAUGACCCCCAACGAUUUUAGCCUUUGCAUUCUGGUGAAUUGCCUCUACCAAUUGAAAAGGUCCAAUCUUGGACUCGAAUGCACAACCAGGAGCUUUAAUCCUUGACAGAUGGCUUAUCUUGCAUCGGCAAAUGGAAAAUAAAGCAAUGAUUUUGUUGAUGAAUACAGCACGAUUUAGUAUCCAUUAUUAAAAGAUUUGCAUCUUGGAAAUGUUUUAUUGGUUGACAGUCAUUGACUUUUCAACUCUAGUCACAAGAAGAGUUAUUGAUGGAAUCGAAAAGACUCAAUGGAGUUUACUUUUUUUUUUGUUAAUCGCUCAUAAUGAAAUUUUGUCUCACUUUCAUUUUAUAUUGAUCUAGGCCAAGGACAACUAAUAGAUUUUAUUUGGCUGAAGCAUCUUCCAGCUAGGUAACACGGAUGGAACCUUGGGCUCCAUAUGUUUCCGGAAAACAUUAGACCAUGUGAUUGCAUCAAGGAGCCAUGAAUUAAACCCUUCGCCAAUAGGGAGGCUGUUAUCAUUCGUGAAUGCAAAUAUUGGUACAAUUCCUUCAUUUAUGAGAUUGGCGUAGUCUCAAAAUCUCAGGAAUACAUCAUAGGGAUCACUUCCCCCCUCCUGUUGGUGUUGGAGAGACGAAUGUAGAUAUAGAUGCUCUGGUAGUGCUCUUAUUUUCGGCAUGCAGUAUUGCUUCUGCUGUUUUUUCUUGUCUUGAGAAGAUUAUAAGCGCACGGCGAAAGAAGAAUUGGCGCGACAAGCACCGCUAAAGGGGCACCCCCAAAACCGAACUGUUGGCACUUCGUUAUUUUCGUUAUCCGGCUCUUCCCUUCAAAAGAAAGGCCCUUCCUGUAGUGCAAAAGGGAUAGAUUAACAUAUGAACUAGACUUAUGCAUCAACUUGAAACGACUGCCACCACACGCUCAACAGUAAAGUGCACAACUUCUUUUACCCAAAGAAAAAAAAAAUUACAGACCCAAGGGUGUCAAAUGAAACCAAGAAAAACUUACAGGGGGCAAAAAGAGAGCUUAAACAAACUUCAGAUGCGAAAACGGAAUAUUCAAAAAUAGAAAGGGAAAACAUCAAUCCCGCCAUCGCUGGCGAGGUUUUUUGAACAGAGCACUUCGAGCGUACGCUCUCCAGAGAGAAGCUAGCGAUCGAUUCGAUUCCGGCUCGUGUAUCGUCGAUCGAUCGAAUCGCUCGAACAAGUUGGAAUUCCAUGGGGGAUUGGGGCUUGGAGGAGGUAGAGAAAGCUCGGGUUGCUGAGCUUGGCUCUCAAGUUCAGCUUCGACGAGCAGUCUGCCGGCAAGUGCUUGGACCGUCUCGUUUCGCUCUACGGUAAAUCGAAUCAUUACUUCGAGUUAUGGAGCCCAUCUUUGAUGCUGAUUGGCGUGCCAAAGCUUCUGUAGGUAUUCAUCGUCCACCACGGUGAUGAUGGCCGUGGAAUAGUCUGCUCUAGUUUUGAAUAGAUCGGAGCUGGUUCAGCGAAGUGGUCUUGCUGACGAGCGAAAUGUCCGGCACGGUUCUAGUUUGAUGUUUUAAGGUUGCUUCGGAUGGUGGUUCUUGGUGAUUAGGGAAUGAUGUAAUUGCUUGUGUUGUGUGGAUAAUUCGUGAAUCGAUUGAUUGUACAUUCCUGAAUGAGGAGAUUUAUUGCAGUUAGUUGUCAUUCUGACGAUGGCUGUGGAAUGGUCUACCUUUUGGAUUUGGAUGGACUGGAGCUGGUUAAAUCUAGUUCAUUGAGCGUUAAUCCUGUCCCUACUUCUCUGUGAAAUGGUCUACCUUUUGGAUUUGAAUGGACCGGACUAGCAAAAUGUCUGACUUCUUUUCUGAACUAACUACGAAAUUACAUAUGGUGUCUCACCUUCAUGUAAAUAGGGUGUCUCACUGAACUAAGUGCAAAUUCGCAUAUUGUAGAUUGUGUUUAUUUGAUCUCUUAUUUGCCACGGAACUUACAAAAUCAUUUCUUUCUUCUUUUGGUUUUCUUAAGGUGACGAAGGUCGAGAGUUUAUCACUGUGGAGCACUGUGGUGAUGACUUCCUAGUAGAACUUGCUAAAACCAUGCGAGAUUCUAAGGAUUGGGAUGAUUUGCAAGCUACAGAAAUCAAAAACUUGUGGAGUUUUGACUGAUAUGUUUGGCCAAGAUAUCAGUAGUGACGGUGAAUGCAAUGGUAUACAAAAUGUCGAUGUUGUAGAAGAUUCCCCACAACCUAAGAAAAACCAAACUUUUCUUGAGGUGAAGAUUCCUCUACUGAUAGUGACGAUGAAGACAAUAUAUUUUCAGUAAAAUGGGCUGGAAAUCUACAUGCUAUGUUCGUAACUAAAGCGGUACUCCAAGCGAUUCUUUCAUUCAACUUCUGGCUAGAUGAUCUUUAGAAUCCAUGGUAUGCUUCAACCAUGGACAUAGCCAAUACAUGCCAAAUCACUUAAAUCACUGAGCCACUAUUAUGUUCUCAUAUAAUUUAUUCUCUGCUUGAUCAUUUGCAAUUUGCUUGCAAUUUUGCACACAGCAAAGGACCUACAUGAUGUACAUGUACAAAAGCAUUUAGUAAAUUGCUUAUGGGGCCUCUCAUCCAAUGAAAUGUCCAAUAGACAGUCAUAACUUUUGCCAAUUACUUCCACAAUCUUCAAGGUCCAAAAUGACAUAUUAGAACUCUUUGGUCAAUAGAGAAGUUGACUUUCGUUUUGGAUGAUGUACAAUUACCUACUUUCUCAAAAUACUUUGAGAGUAUAAUAGAUCAUCAAAGUGUGGAACUUAGCGAUCUGGCGUCUUUGAUAGGAAUGUUUUGCAUAAAUGAAGGCUUGUAAUUUAUUUGUGCACAUUUUUUCAUUUUCCAUGACAAUCCAUGUCAGAAACUAUUACGGUGCUGAAGAGGUUUAUUCCUGUUGAAGGACUGUAAGAGCACUAUCACUCAAGGUUCAAUAUCAGUUUCAAAUGAAAAUGGCCAAUGUUGUCAUAUUCGAAAAUAGGGCAUUUUGACCAAUGUGGGCAUCAGGCAUGUAAAGCUUAUGUAGCCAAGCAAUUGCUUCAUUCUCAUGCCCACUAGAGGUGGUAAAAGCUUAUGUUACUAGGUUAGUGAAUGUUAACAUCAUUUCAUUUGUAUAAUGAUCGAAUGUAGACGUAAGAGCACUGUCACUCAAGGUUCAAUAUCAGUUUCAAAUGAAAAUGGCAAAUGUUGUCAUAUUUGAAAAUAGGGCAUUUUGACCAAUGCGGGCAUCAGGCAUGUAAAGCUUCUGUAGCCAAGCAAUUGCUUCAUUCUCAUGCCCACUGGAGGUGGUAAAAGCUUAUGUUACUAGGUUAGUGAAUGUUAACAUUAUUUCAUUUGUAUAAUGAUCGAAUGUAGAUGUAUGUGUGGAGACAAUGUUUGGAGCACAAGCCCUGUGCACUUUGCUCAAUGGUUCCACUGAUUAAAUACUAGACGGAUAGACUUGUACAUUGAAAUUUAAGAUUUAAAAUGAUCUUGUAAUCUGCUUUGUUAGCACUGUUGCGAAGUUUGUGCUUAAACUUAAGUUUGAAAAUGUUUUCCAAAUGCAAAUUAAGCUAAAGGAAGUGAUUCAGGUAUAGAACCAUGGGUCCAAUGUACAAGAUCUGACUAGGUUGGAAAAGAAUAUUAUAUUGGACAUUCUUGUUCUACCUUCGCACAUUUCUAUCUAUUCUGUGAUUUCUAGAAUUUGAGGUUUGUGCUAUGCUUCUAGGACCUUCUAAUUACUUACUGAAAAAUUUAUCUUGUUUUGCAUGUAAGUGUUGUUGUCAGUCAUAGUUAAGGUCCAAGUCAAAAGGGUUAUUAAGUCAAAGAGGAAUAAGUUUUUAAAUUACUUGCACCAAAUACGGAUUUAGAUCUCUAUAUUUCCUGCAGGUAAGUGCUAUGUUAUCAUCUCAACUGGGGUGAUCAUGUAAGAUGGAUCUUGGUAGCAUGCAACAUAUCUGAUCUACUGAAUCAUGAAAGAAGAUAUUAAUAUGAAUUUAUUAGUUUGAGUUAUCCUGAAGUACUUUCUGUUGAGUCUUGAAGUAGAUGAUAUGUGUUUCUAGUUGAAGUAAAUAAAAGACAGAUAGUGACAGCUAGUGCUUUCUGAUCAGCCGAAGGUGAAUGAAAGGAUAAUUCCUUCAUCCCAUCCUCUCUUCAUGUGCUCUUUUGAUGUUUUUAUCCUUCAUUUCAGCUGCCAACUACUCUUAAACCAAGUGUCACAUUCAUUAUAUGUCCCAUGGUAUCUAUCAACCAGGAUAAAAUAAUUACCCUAACCCUCCAUAUGUUGCAAUGGAUGCACAUUUUUUUAUGUAUUUAAUGAAAAGAUUCAUGCCUAAGAUGUUUGCCUCAAAUAAAUUUUACGAUCUCAGUGUUCCUAGAGAAGUACAUCAUACCAUACAAUUAUCAUUUUGCCAUAAAAUGUUGGGCUAUAAUUGUUGCUGUGAGGUUUCUAUUGGACUUUUAAAACUUUUUUUUGCUGACUGUUGUGAUUAUCAAGUCAUUAAUACAUAAAAAAGGUGCCUUUUCAGGAAAGUUAAUCCAUCGUGCAAGCUAUUGUAUGUAACCCUUGAAAGGAUUGUAGGAAACCCAUCAUUUCUUUUUCACUUUUUGAUGCUCGGCUGCCGUGCAUUGCAGGCACAACUAGCUGGUUUUGUUGUUGAUAAGACACAUUAAGUGAGGUAUGUUCUUUGGCAUCCUUGCAUCUGAAGCAAAGUUAAUGCUAAAGUUACUUCAAAAGGAAUAUGUAUUUAUGAUGUUGCCACUGCAAAACUACUGUCCUUGUCCCAGAUAAAGAAGUUAACUUUUAUAUACGCUCACUCAAACUCUCUUUUUUGAACAUUUUUGCAUAUUAUGUAUUUCUAGCCUAAGUACAUUGUUGGUGUUACACUGAACCUUCUGAAACCCAGACCUUCUUUGACGAUCUAGUAUAACAGAUGCAAUGUUGAAAUAAGUAAUUUUGGAAAUGAUCUAGUUCCUUCUUGUGGGAAAAGUCAGUAGCACAUUGUUAAUCAAAUAAAGCAAAAUGCACACAACUAAAAUGAGCUCCAAUGGAUAUUACUUUCGGAAGUAAUUGGAAGUGUCCAUGUUUGGCUUGGUAGUCAGGUCUCUUAAGGUGGUUCUUGUGUCCCUAUUUAUUCUUUUAACCUUUUUGCUAUAUAAUAACAACGUGGUAUAUAAGGCAAAAGUUCGCCCAUUGGAUCAUUGGUUGUGUUUCUUAUGAGGUCUUUACUGGAUUUGUGCUGCCAGUGCCAUCUCAUGAAAGAAACAUAUUGCCGGUUUGAGCUUUUCUCGUAUAUUUGAAUGAUUGUAAAUGAGGAAUGCUUAUUCAUCAUUACUUUCUUUGUUGUCAUUAUUGCAGUCCAUGGGGACGUGAAUUUUGUCCAAAUUAUAGAGGACUGGAAUGUCUCAAGCAAAACUUUCCAUAUGUCCCAGCGAUGGCCUUAACUGCCAUUGCCACCUGUUCGUGAGGUAUGAAUUGCACAUUAACCUCGAAAUUUUGCUGAAAUAAUCAUUUGGGACUGAUUGAAAUCCUGAAAGCUCUCAGGAUCCCCCAUGCUCUUGUUCUUGAGACAGAUUUGACAGACCAAAUCUAAUGUCUGAGGUCACAGCUAAGACCAAAGAACCAAUGAAGCAGCUUGAAGAGCUGUUAAAGAAUCAUUUUGCUAAUUUUUGUGGCAUAGUAUUUUGCCUCUCAGAGAGUAAAUGUGUUGAUGUUACAAAAUUCUUGAAUGAUACGUGUGGUAUAAAGACGGUGUACUAUCAUGCUGGAUUACCAGCCCAUCAAAGAGUAGCUGUUCAAACGAAAUAACAUGCUGGAGAGGUCCAGGUUGUGUGUGCUACCGUUGUUUUUGGCAUGGAAUAGACAAACCUGAUGUUGUAGGUUGAAAUGGACUUUGUGCCUUUGUCUAUUUUUAGUUUUAGAAUCAAACUGACACGUUGGCAAAAUACUCAAUUGAUCCACUUUUCUUCAAAUGUUUAAGUAUCGCUAAUUGGUUUCUUAGUGUGCUUUGAAGUAAACUUUGCUAGUUGCAUGGUUCAGUGGCCUGCUAAAUUAUCAUUCUUGGCUAUUUUUCAAGCCAAAUUCUUUCUUCCAUGCAUGGAACUUUGGUGUGCUGAAAUUAAGUUAAACUAGGAUAAAGUUCUUUUCUUUACUGUAAAAGUGGCAAAUGACUCUGAUCUAACUUGACCUUCAGUUAUAAUGUUUUUGUCAUAUUUUAACUUUUUUUUUAAUUGGUUCGGUAAUUAUAUUUUAUGGCAUGUGGUCAGCAUUUUGUCAUCCACAACACAAUGUUGAAGUCAAUCGAAAGCUAUUACCAAGAAUCAGGGAUGCAGGAAGAGAUCUACCAGCAAUUUUUCCACUUAAUUUCUGGCCAAACGAUCUUUAGAAUCCAUGGUAUGCUUUAACCAUGGACAUAGUCAAUAUAUGCCAAACCACUUAAAUCGUUGUCACUGUUCUGUUCUCAUAUAAUUUAUUCUCUGCUUGAUCAUUUCCAAUUUGCUUGUGAUUUUGCACACAGCAAAGGACCUACACAAUGUACAUGUCCAAAAGCAUUUAGUAAAUUGCUUAUGGGGCUUCUCAUCCAAUCAAAUGUCCAAUAGACAGUCUUAACUUUUGCCAAUUUCUUCCACGCUCUUCAAGAUCCAAAAUGACAUACUAGAACUCCUUGGUCAAUAAAGCAGUUGACUUAAGCUUUGGAUGAUGUGCAAAUACCUAUAUUUCUCAAAUACUUUGAGAGUAUAGCAGAUCAUCAAAGUGUGGAUUAGCAAUCCAGCAUCUUUGAUAAGAAUGUUUUGCAUAAACGAAGGCUGGUGAUUUAUGUUGAGUGUUGUGACUGUCAAAUUAUUAAUCUCCACUUUUGCUUGGCCUGCCUUUUCAGAAAAGAUAAACCAUCGUGCAAGCUACUGUAUGUAACUGCUGAAAGGAUUGUGGGAAACCCAUCAUUUCUUGAGAUAUUGUAACGCUUGCUUAGAAAGGGAUUGUUUCUGAUGCACCAUAACUUUUUCUGAUAGGUUCUUUGUAAAUUUAUUAUAUUCGACCAUCAUGCAUUGCAGGCACAACUAGCUGGUUUUGUUAUUGAUGAGUUACAUUACGUGAGGUAUGUGUAAUAUUUGGCAUGCCUUGUACAUGAAGAAAGAUCAUGCUAGAGUUACUUCAAAAGGAAUAAUUAUUUGUGAUGUUGCCACUGGAAAACUAUUGUCCUUGUUCCUGAUAAACAUAAGCAAGUUAACUUUUAUAGAUGCUAACUUAAAACUCUUUUUCCAAACUUUUCUGCAUUUUCUGGGUUUCUAGCCUAAUUAAAUUGAUAAUGUUAAACUAGACCUUCCGAAGCCCAGAACCCUAUAAAGUUCUAAUAUAACCGAAUGCAGUGUUCCUUGUUUGAUGAAAAGAUUUAGGUUCCAUUAUUUGGGAACACUUAGUGGCACAUCGUAUAUUAUAUUGAGUAAAGAGGACACAACUUAAUAAAACUGCAAUGGAAAGUACUUCCUAGAGUAAUUGGAUCCAGCAUAAGCUUGGAUAAAGAUCCAAUCUCCUCUUUAUGUUUGGCAGGACACUCAAUCUCUUGAGUUGGUUCUUGUAUCCCUAUUUAUUCCAUUAACGCUUAUAGUUUAUGUUAACAACUUGAGAAAGGUAAAGGUUCAACCAUGUGAUCAUUGAUUGUGCUUCUUAAAAUGUCUUAACUGGAUUUGCUCUGCUAGUUUGAUCUAAUGAAAGGAACGUACUGCUGAUUUGAGCUUUUCUUGAGCAUUUGACUGAUUAACAUUGAAAGCUCAUAAUUGUCACUUUUGUGGUUGUCAUUAAUGUAGUCUAUGGGUACAGGAUUUUCAUCCAGAUUACGGACUGGCAUGUCUCAAGCCUAACUUUGCAUAUGACCCAGUGCUGGCCUUAGCUGAAACUACCACUCACUCAGUUCGUGAGGUACUAAACUUAUAUAUUAACUUCCUCAUCAUUAUGUUGAAAUAAUUUGUUCAUUCUGAUUGAAUUAUUCAUCCAUUGCAGGAUAUCCUAAAAUCUCUUGGGAUUCCCCAUGCUCUUGUUCUUGAGACAAGCUUUGACAGACUAAAUCUAAAAUAUGAGGUCAUAGCCAAGACCAAGGAACCACUGAAGCAGCUCGGAUAGCUGCUAAAGAAUUGUUUUGCUAAUUUGUGUGGCAUAGUAUAUUGCCUUUCAAAGAGUGAAUGCGUUGAUGUCGCAAAAUACUUGAAUAAGAAGUGAUGUAUAAAGACAGUGUACUAUCAUGUUAGAUUACUAGCCCGCUAAAGGGUAGCUGUUCAAAAGAAAUGGCAAACUGAAGAGGUCCAAAUUGUAUGUUAUAAAAAGAAAUGGCAUACUAUCAUUCUCGUGUUAUUGACUAGCUAUAUUAUAAAUUAUAUAAUCAAUACAUUGACUUUACUAGCAACUUUUCUCAUGUUAUAUAUAAUCAGUAGGCUCAAAAUUAGAUUAUUUCGUGUUUGAUAUAUUUAACUAAUGUUUUGACUUGUUAGUGCGGCCCGCAUUACGUAUGAUUUAGUGCUUGAAUAUGCAAACUUGGCUUAACAAGUUAGUUAAAGUUUUGGUAAACAACGACUAAAUUUGAAUAUAUGAUUAUCUUGUGAGUAGCUUUUAACUACUAAAGUUCCACUGUUGUAAUGUAGUAUGAUGAAGAGGAACAUUUGACAGUACUGGCCCCAAAGACAAUGGUUCAAUUGAAAGUUGAAUGCAUGACCAAUGACUAUAAUUUGGUGUAGUAGAGUCCAAGUACUAACCAAGUAGACGACCGGCUUGGUCCAAACCAAAUGGAUAUAAAUUUCGGGAAGAUUUAACAUUUUCUUUAUCAGUCAACUAUAGCCAACACCAAAGAAAAUUUGGUUUCAAGUAUGAUAAUGUAUGGCUGUGUCUACACUGCUUUAUAGGCUCAUGCUUAAAGGAAUCAAGUUUGAGAUUAUACUAUCAAAGUGAUUGCAAAAUGCCAAUACAUGAACUUCCUAAAAUCCAAGAGCUGAAUGUACACUAACGAACACUUUUAUUUUGCGCUCAAAAUUCUUUCCAGUGAGAAACUAUUGUCUUUGUGGAACUUUUUACUGAAAAUCUUGCCUGNNNNNNNNNNNNNNNNNNNNNNNNNNNNNNNNNNNNNNNNNNNNNNNNNNNNNNNNNNNNNNNNNNNNNNNNNNNNNNNNNNNNNNNNNNNNNNNNNNNNGAUUGCAGCUUGAUCUACGCGAGAAGGAUAGGAUUUACUAAUUAUCAAUAAAUGGUGAUAUUUGAGAUCGGAGCAUCACAAUUUACAUCAUGAAAGAUAAGGUACAAAUGCACAAACAUCAUUUGCACCAAUUGCAGUUGGACCGUAAUGAACAGAGACUUCAUGAGCUGGCCGAUGAAAACGUAAACAACAGGCUUGGAAGAAGUAACAAUUAGCAACACUUUCCUUGUUUGUGUUUAGGAACAUAAUUGAUAUCAAUAAAAAUAUGUUGAAAGGUGAAAUGCUUAAACUACAUAAUAGAAAGAUAAAUUUAUUAUUUGGUUAUUUUGCAAUAUCAUAUUAGCAAAAUUAGCAAAACAGGAUAGUUUGCUAGGAGGUGAAUUUUAACUUUACAAAGUCAACGUCGCAUGAGAACUGACCUUAUCAAAUUAAAAAAUUCAGAAACCUAUAUGACAACAUUCAAAGGAUAGUAUCACAUUGAUGAACUGAUAGAAAUGAAGGAGAUUGUCCUCAUGCAUACUUGCAUACUUUUUCAGGUGCAAUUCCAUAGCUCAUAUAGUAUGAGCAAACAAGUUAUUUUUCCAUUGUUAUGGUACGACUAGUAGUGCAUACCUCCCUCUGCAGAGCCCUAUCAAGUUCCGGAAUGAUAACAUUAGAAUGCAACAGCAUUAAACAAACAUUUCUGCAUCAGGGUGACAUACAAAAAAAUCAGCAGCUACGUAUUGGAUUAACAGAGAGGUCGAACAUCAUGAACAUACAAAAAAAGACUCAACUCAAAAUACAACAUCAAAAUCAUUCGAGUAUGUGCUGUCGAGACCAGAUAAAGUGUACUAGAUCCUCACAAGCAUAAAAAAUUCCCCAAGUAACAUAGAGAAUCUCAAGUGAAGACAAGUCACCGAUUUCACCUGGAAUUGCUCUUUCAGAUAACAGCAUGAUGGGAAGCUUAUAGUGCACCAAUUUUUCAACCUUCCUAUAGCACUAGGAAGCUUUUCAAUACCAAAACCACUAAUGUCUAGAUGUUGCAAAUUCUGUAAAUCUCAAGUUGAGCAAGUGAUAUCUGUGAGCGACUCUCAACAGCUGGCACUCAGUUUCUCCAGCUUCCUCAGAGAACCGAUAGACAUAGGAAUCUCAGUAAUAUCAGCAAAAUCUAAUAUAAGUUCUAAUUUGAUAGAUUCACCUCCUUUCAGUUCUAACUCACGUACCCAUCCGCUCUUGGUCCAGUCCGUUGCCACAUUCUUCUUCCAUGAUCCUAAAUCUCCUGUGAAUCCUAAGAUCACCACACUCUCCCCAAUUUCAACUUGGCGAUCCAGCCGAACGCUAAGAUGCACCUUCUCCCAUCCCAGCUAUGAUAUGAUCUUCUUUGCUUUCUUCUCCUCUUCUCUGCAAUGAACACAUUAUUUCAUAGCUUCUACCAAUAGCCUCCUUCUUUGUCUAAACAACUUAAACAACAAUUUUCACUUGAACCACCGAUUCAUUGUUUGUCAUUUAACUCCACAUUCAAAGAGAAACCUCAAAUCAAGACGGUGUCAAAUAAUCCGUGCUGCUAGCUUUUAUUGCAAGAAGAACUCGAAAGAAAAACAAAAUAACUCUUUUUUCCUCACCGAUUCUUGUUCAAGUAAUAAACCCCACAUAAACUCCAUCCAUACUAGAGACUCAGACAAACCUUUGAUCGAGAAUUCCAUAAAACAACUCAAUACUUCACUCCAAACCCCAGUGCUUGAUCAGACUGACAUAAGUGCGCUAGAACAAAUCCAGAGAGAGAGAGAGAGAGACCUGGUUGUAGUGGUGAAAACACCACGAACAACCAUGAAGGAGCGACUCUGAGCUGCAUGUGUCACGCCCCGAUCCUCGGGAUCGCAUCCAUCCCUCUACUUGGUCGAUUUAUUAAUGCGAUACCCCAGGACUAUGUAUCGCCGACCCUUUUAUUUUUAUUUGCACAUGCGGAAGCAGUUAUAAAUCCCCAGACAAUAGAACAAUGGGAUAGAAAAGCAGGCCAUAUUUUUCAUAUUGAAAUUCACAACCACACUUUUAUACACACGCACCUCAUAGUAUCUUACAAUACUAUUAACAUAGGUCUAAUCUAACACCUAUCCACAAGUACACAAGGUUCACAUAACGGGAUGGGAUCUCAGUCCUCAUCUGGGUCAUACUCGGGAUCAUCAUCCCGAUCCUCUUGAGACUCUUCUUCACUAAGUUCGUUUUCUUCAAGCUCUUCAUCCUCUGCUGGCUCGUCAUCAGGGUCAUCCAAUAGAUAAUCCUCCUCCGGUCCCUCUACGGACCUGAAAUGGUUAUUCAAUAACCAAUGAGAUCACGUCUCAGCGAGUUGUACCCCCUAAGACCCGAUUAGUAAACCAAUACGCCAUAUGGUUGCCUAAGCACAACACAAGUCAGAUGACUUACCUUGGCCUCAUUUCCAACCUACAAUUCAAGGUUAAACACAGAUGCUUCAUAUAUCACAUCAAACAUUCAAUCAAUUCACGACAACAGAUCAAAUCACAUAUCAAUCGACUUGGUCGAUUACAUGUCAUUCGAACCACCUCUAGGUCAUUCCCACUCAUACCAUAAUUUCCCAAUGGUGUAUUCAUUCACCAAAUCACAUAUGUUUCUCGGGCGUCGUUUUCGCCAAUGACAUACCGAUCACCGAUACCGUGCGUUCUUUAAGGCGCCGUUUUCACUAGUGAUAUCCUCGAUCACCGAACCACGUGUCCUUUCUAGGGCGCCGUUUUCGCCAAUGUGACAUCGGCUAUCGACAACAUCGUGAGUUUUUUAAGACGUCGUUUUCACCAGUGAUAUUUCCUUAAUCAACGUGUGUCUAUAAGUCAUUUACGUGCGUUUUUUAAGGCGUCGUUUUCGCUAGUGAUACUUCUAAUCACCGAACCACGUAUGUCCAAUAACAUCGUACCUGAUUGGUCUCAGCCAAUAAUGUUCUCAGUUAGCUCUCACCAUUCUCCCUACUAUAUAGCCCAUCAACGUACUGGCGCUAUAUACCCAUGCUCGGCCAUUACCAAUCAAAUAUUCAAUAACAAACAAUUUAGGACAAUUCCUCAAAUUUCACAAUUUAAAUCAAUUCCAUAAAAAUUGAAGCUCAAUUAAAUAAACGGACUGCACCACGACAAUCGACACGAAAUUCCGGUCAACGGCCAUCCCGGUUGAAUUUCCGGAAAAAUAAUUAAUUAAAUAAUUAAUUUCGAAAAUUAAAUAAAUUAAAUAUUAAAAAUCCAAUUUAGGCCCGUAUUGCCUGAUUGGAGCCCGAAACGGGUCGGGAAAAAUCCCGAGAUGCAUUCAAUAAAUACUAGAGCAUUUCUACUCCCUAAUGGCUAUAGCUAACCACCUAACAUGCAUCCUUAAGUCACUAAUUUAAUUGUUCUAACCUAAUCUAACCACAUAAUUGCACUUAAUUAAAUUUAACCAACCCUAAGCAUAAUUAGCAAACUAAGAAAGUAUUAGUGAGUAAAACUCACUUGGCAAAAGCGGAGACCGAAUCACCGCGACGGCGACGCGACGGUGGCCGAAAUCGGGCUUUCAACAACAUCGGCAGGCUUGGACCGGGCCUUGACCUUGGCCAAACAAAUCUCAGCCCAACUGAGAUUUGUUCUUGCUUUUGGGCUGGACCCAAGUUGGGUUGGGCCUGCUGAAAUUCUAGGCUGAUUUCACUUGAGCUUCAAAUUUGUGGGCUGGACUUCAAUUGAUUGCUGGAAACUGGGCCUCAAAAAGACUGGGCUGAGUUAUUAGAUCUCUGGGCCGAAUUUGGACUGAAAUGGGCUGCUGGACCAACAAAUUUCGCUGGGCUUGAAAUUCAAUGGGUUGAAGACACUUGCUGGACUUGAAGACUUCAACUGGGCUGUUGCAAAUUAUUGGGCUGAGCUGCUGCAAAGAAGAUGGGCCGAAGACACUGGAAUCUGCUGGCUUUGCUGGGCCCGAAGACUGAAUUCUGUUGGGCCAAGGAAAUGCGUGAACUGCAGGUGACGAUGGUGAGCUGGCGGAGAAGAAGUCGUGGACUGCUGCUUCGUUCGAUGUUGCCCGCGUGAGGAGGAAGCGCGGGUCAACAGAGGCGUUCGGCUGGUUCGCUUGUUGACCAAGAGGCGGUAGGCCGUGGACAUGUGGCACUGCAACAGGGGAAUUGGUGGCGUCGGUGGCGUUGAAGAUGCUGAAGACGCGCGGCCAAGAAGAGAAACGUGGACUUCGCUGGGGUCUUCAAGUCGCUGAAGUCCACGGACGUGCGGCUUCUUCAGUGGAAGGAGAUGUUGACCGAGAUGUGGGCGUGCUGGCGUGGAGCUGAGGAAUCGCACGAAGAAGUUGCUGGAAUUUACUCGAUGAAAGACUCAAGCUGGGACUGACCGAACAAGAUGAAGACUUCACUGGGUUCGGUCAAUCGGCUUUGCGAUUGACUGACGAAGACGUGUGGAGAAGCUGGCGGAGAAGGACGUGUGGCGUGCGGACGUGAGGAGCUACAACAACUGGUGAGGCUUCGCUCGGUGGUCAACAAAUUGGAAGAAAACCUGCUGCUGUUGACUGAAGCAGCCCAUGUAGUCGGCAGGUGGCAGCUCGGUAGAUCUCACGGCUUCACGGCAAGCUGUUUCGAUGGAAAGAGAUGCGGCGUGCGUUCGUGGAUGACCGAGAAGAGGCAGAUGGAUUCGAGGCAGCUGGAGUUGAAUGGCGUGUUGGCAGCGUGAGAGAAGGCAUGGCAGCAGCUUGCAGGGAACUUGGUGGCCGACCAAAGAUGGUGCAAGCGAUAUUGCUUUCUUCGGCUGGGUCUUCGAACGUGCGGCAGGGGAGAGAGAUUGGAUGGGGGCUGUUUCGUGUGAAAGAAAAAUGAAAGCAGAGGCAGGAACAACGAGCGGAUGGGGGAGAAGGCGUGCGUGAGAAGCCGGCUGUGGGGCACAAAGUCAAUUAAAAUAUCUAUCCUCUUCAAUGCUUUGUCCCCCCUUAAGCUUUCAUGUUUAUCCCUUAUGUCCCCUAAUUCUUUCUUACUUAGAUAAUGCCACAAUUUAUAUCACCAAUUAAUCCAAAUUGAUGCCAAAUUUCCAGCCCUUUGCCAAGCUCCUAUUUUCUCAAAUUAAACUUCAAUUUCCUCACCGAACCUCCAAAUCAGUCUAAUUUCAAUGAAGAUAAAUCCCAUAAAAUUUUAUGUGGGUCCCCGACACCCAAAUGCUUGGCUUGACAAUCCAAACUCACUUCAAUUCUGUCCACACUAAUUUCUGUUAAUUUUCCGCGACGUCUGAACUAUUUUCCGUAAAAAUUUCGGAAUCUCCGAAAAAUCUUUUGAGACUGACUCGACGUUCCUAGAAUUUAUUGUGAAAUGACAUAAUUUUCAAUUUCUGAAAUCGGACUCGAAUUGGCGGUUAAUUUCCAUUCGACGCGUGUUUAGCGUAACCUAGGUUACCGGGUAACUUUCAGAAAUUUUUAAGUGUAAAUGACUCGUGGUCGAUUUUCUUCGAGCCACUAUGAACCCACUCGACUCAUUAGCGACUCUCGAUUGUCGUGAAAAUCUCGAGGAUUCAAAUACGAACACAAAGUCCCAAAACAAUAGGAAAAUCAGUCUAGUGCCGGUCGACGGGAAUUUUCCAAUUUAGUGGUGUCACCCACGAUUAGCCACACAUCUUAGUCGAACCAGCCUAUCUCUGAUUUCGAAUCGAUUUUAUAUUGUGCCGUAUUGACCUCUAAAGAUGAACACGGUCGAAAAGCCGAUUCCUGAUCGAAUUCUCAAGUCUAUUUACCUUAAGAUCCUUAAUGGCUUCCUCAAGUAGUCUAGUUAUCUCAAGAGUGAUCAGCUUUGAGAACAGCCCUAUAAGCGCGUCAAUGAAAUGCCCGAUUUAUUCAAUAGAAAACAUGGUUGAAAAUCUGGAAUGUCACAGCAUGAGCUCCAUGCAUCCACAUAAGAGAAUCUCGAAGGAGAGAAGUAAUGCUGCUCUUCAAGAAAAAAACCGGUCUCUUUACUUGGUUUUAGGUAUGAAAAUGCACAUGGCUGUGUCUCUUCUGCUUUUAUAUUCAUGCUUAAAUAAAUCAAGUUUGAGGUUAUAUGACCAAAAUGAUUGGAAGAUGCCUACAUAUGAAUUUUCGAUGUAACCAGACCAAACUGAUGAUUUUAUAAUGCCAAUAUUUUGGGUUCAAAAUUCUUCCAAAUGAGAAACUACCGUCUUCUUGGAAACAUUUUCAUUGAAACUUUUGGCUGCAGUUGACAGAUUAUUUUUUGAUUCCACGGCAUUUGCUUUUUCCACAAAAAAAGUCUCUCCCGGUCAUAAAACUGUAGCUUGAAGUGGACACCUAAAUGGUAAUCUUGUUAACAAAUCUCAUUUUAUGCUUGACUUCACAUAUAAAACCACCUGCACAUGCAGUCUUCCUCCAAGCAAUUUGUGAUGCAGCCUUUGCUAAAGAAUAGCACGAUUUCAACCUUGUAAAGGACUAAUACACCACAUGAGAAGAGGUUGCCUUAUAUCAAGAACCUUUGAAGAGUAUUAACAACAUGGAGCAAAUGACAAACGCCAAUGGCGAAGAACUUCAAAAUGCCUUUCUAUAAUGACAUAGUUCAUUCUUGCCCUUAUCUAAACCCCGUGGUGUUUGGGGACUUCCUCCGAAUUUCAUCAAAUGCAGCUUUAAUCUGCACAAGGAAGAUAGCACCAAGUAAUUAUCAAUAAAUGAAGAUGUCCAAGAUCGUAGCAUAAUAAAUUACCUCAUGAGAGAUUAAGGUACAAAUGCAUAAACAUCGACAUCAAUCAGAGUUGGACCACAAUGAAAGGAGACUUCAUUAGUUGGCCGAUGAAAACGAAACACACAGGCUUAAAAGAAGUAAGCAAUUAGCAACACUUUCUCUGUUUGUGUUUAGGAACAGAAUUGAAAUUAAUAAAAUUAUGCUGAAAAGGUGAAGUGCCUAAAUUACAGAACAGAAAGAUGCAUUUCCUACUUGGUUAUUUUGCAAGAUCCAAUUAGCAAAAUUAGCAAUACUAGAUCGUUUGCAAAGAGGUCAAUUUCAACUUUACAAAUCCAAUGCCACAUACAUGAGAACUGAGCUUGUCAAACCUAUAUAAUAACAUUAAGAGGAUAUCAUCACACAAAUAAACUGAUAGAAAUGGAGGAGCCUAGCAAUGCAUACCUCCCUCUGCAUAGCAUCAUCAAUUCCAUAGUGAUAUCAUUAGACUGCAACUGCAUCGAACAACUCUGCAUCAGGGUAACAUACAAAAAAUCAUCAACUUAGUUUUUGAUUAAAGGAGAGCUAGAACCUAAUGAGCAUACAUAAAGCAUAUUUAAUUGAAAAAAAAAUACAUUUACAAUCAUUUAGGGAUGUGACAUUGAGAUCAGAUCAAGUGUUUUGGAUCUUCACGAGUAUCAAAACUUCCUUAGGACACUCCAGUCAGCCCCAAAGCCUCUUCAAGUUUGGCACGCAAGAUGAUCCUUAGCAGUUGCUGAUGCUUCCUCUGCAAAACCCCUUUUGUUUAUUUUGAUCAGUCUCAAGUAUGGAAUUUGAAGUUCCUCAGCCAAGUGAGCCACGCCCAAAUCAGUCAUGUAAUAAAGCAAUUCCAUGGCAACAAUAGGAUCAAACGGUAUGCAAACUAAUUAGCAAAUUCUUGAGCCUUGAGCUCCUCAUCCUAGCUUGUUUCAUGACGGGCAAAACAUUGUUCAUUAAUGCAAAAGUCAUCAAUACAAUUAAUCGAACUGAACUCCCAAAGUAAGCCUUGAUCAUUACACAGACCAACCAAACUUGUCAUGGAAGCAGCACCAAUUUACCUUGCUUGAUAAUAUUCAAAACAAUAGUUUGACUACUAGUAAUGUUAAGGUGGUGUACAUUGAUAUAUGACAGACUAGCCAGAACUACUUUAACAUUUUUUUUUUUAAUCACAAACCAAAAACACUUGAUAUGUUUUAUUUUAGCUCACUUCAUCAUACUUAAUGGGAAUUGAUGCUAUUCUUAGAAGGUUCAAGAGGGACAUCAAGGGAACAAUAAGAAAUUUGACAGGGUUUCUGUUCAUCGUGGAAAACCAAUAUGUUUGUCUCAAACAAGACAUCUGCCAUUAGUCAAAUUUCACACAAAAGAACUCACAAAGUAACUCAAAAUGGCCAAGGAUCUUUUCAAGAAAUAUUAAUUCUGGACAGGGAAAUUCUGGGUGUAGUUUAUAAUAUUGAGUAGCAGAAGUUCAUCAGCCUCGAUUUGAAAAUUUCAAAUCCUAGGUUUACUUAUGGAAGAACUGUUAAAUCACUGGGGAAUUCUUGUUUACCUUUGCUUGAUAUUUUCAUCCUUGCCUNNNNNNNNNNNNNNNNNNNNNNNNNNNNNNNNNNNNNNNNNNNNNNNNNNNNNNNNNNNNNNNNNNNNNNNNNNNNNNNNNNNNNNNNNNNNNNNNNNNNNNNNNNNNNNNNNNNNNNNNNNNNNNNNNNNNNNNNNNNNNNNNNNNNNNNNNNNNNNNNNNNNNNNNNNNNNNNNNNNNNNNNNNNNNNNNNNNNNNNNNNNNNNNNNNNNNNNNNNNNNNNNNNNNNCUUACUAUGCCUUCUAUUGACAUUUGGGUCUAUAUUUUGAUCUUGGCUUAAGCAUCAUGUAUGACCAACUCCCCCAUUCCUUCAAUUAUGACAGAAUCUUGUCAUGGAAAACCUUCUUGUCAAAAGAAGAUGGGGAUGAAAAGUAGGUCAUGAAUCUCAGAAGAAAAAUGAUUGUUAACUGCUUAUUUACCUCUAUUGGGGAAACAUCACUCCAAAAGUCAAAAGACAGCUCUCGCUCAUAAUUUCUAAAGACGCGCGUUUCGGUAUUGCUUCCAAUGAGUCACAACCAGAAAUAUCCAAAUCAAUUAAAUCCAACUUUUCAAGUCCCCAAAGCUGAGGAGGUUUCUUGCUGUCUCAAACUCUUAGAGAUCCUAACUUCUCACAUCCUAUCAAAUCUAGAAAGUCUCUAUUGAUUUGCAUCCUGUAAAAUCCAAGUCUUCUAAGAACUUCGCACCAUCAAGACCUUGAAUUUCGACUAUAUUGUCGCACCCAACAGCCACUAAUUUCUUCAGACACCGUGAUUCUGGAUAGAGAAGCCUUUUAAUGGAAUUGCAAUCAUAUAUAAUUAUGACCUCCAAGAAUGCCAAAUUAUCAUGCCCUGAAUUUCAACUAGGCUAUCGCAAUGCUCAGCGUGCAAUCAUUUCAGAUGAAUCAAUCGUGAAAGGUUCAAUCUUUCAAUGGAACUACACUUUUCUAUGGAAAAUCUCGACAGAAGGCAAGUCACCAAUUUCACUUUUCAGACAACAACACGACGAGAUAUGUAGAGUCUGCAGAUUUUUCAGCCUUCCAAUCGCAUUGGGAAGCUUUUCAAUCGCAGAAAAACUCAAAUGAAGAUGUUGCAAAUUUUGUAAAUCCCCAAUUGAGCUAGGGAUUUCUCUCAGAGACUCACAACCAUAAGCGCUCGAUUUCUUCAACUUCCUCAGAGAACCAAUAGACGUGUUCAUGGUCAUCAAGUGAGAAAAAAAAAUCCUUCCCAUCCGAGAAAGGGGAGAGGCCGAGAUAGAGAGAGAUUGAGGACACGGAUGGACACGUGGUCGCCGAGCAACCGAUCCCAUGGAGUUGGCCAGAGUCUAGAGAUCAUGACGAUUCAAACUCUUAACCAAAACCAGAUGUACGUAGCCAAAUCCCGGCCUCGCAUGCUCGAACACACUUCACCCCCGCACAGACUAGACAACGCGAAGGAGUUGGCGAUAAAAGCAUCGUGGUGGAAUGAUCCGGAGAAGAAGAGGAAGAGGAGGGUGGCCAGAUACAAGCUUUAUUCGGUCGAGGGCAAGUUCAAGGCUUCUUUCAAACAAGGGUUCCGAUGGUUGAAGCGCAAAUGCUCGACCUUCGCACGUCGAUUCUAAUUAGCAGAAAUUACGGAAUACCGUGUCAUCGUCAUCAAGAGAGAAAAACGGUGAGAAAGAGGAAACAGAGAGAUUUGCUGUGCUCUUUGGGUGUUCAUCUUUAUAUGUAUCUAAUGGUGAUCAAAUAUUCAGAAGGGUGCUGCUAAUGUUCAAUCUUUCAGAUAUAAUGUUCAUCUGACUCAUUGUUUCAUUCAUUGCUCUCCAGCAUUCAAAACAUAGGCAAAUGAGACGACUCGGACGUGAUAGUAAUAUAUAUUUGUAUUUGCCGAUUUUUCUUGUUCUUUUUUGAAUUUUCUUACCUUCUAAUACAUUUGUAACAGGAUUCUGCAUCCAUGCCCAUGCAAAGUAGAAUUGUCUGAUUUGUUCAAUUCUCUUAUUUUCUGUAAGCUCUUUUCCUAAUAAAUGUGAUGCUGAUUGCAAAUGAGAUGACUCGUACAUGUAGGAUUGACAUUACCAUCUAUUUUGUGGUCGAUUUUGUUGGGUACAAUUUUGUUUUGGCCAAAUGUUGUUUACGCCUUGUUUCUGGGGUUCUUUAACCCCCUAAUUUCCUCUAUUUGUCUAGUUUGAUUCCUCUUUGUUGUACGAUUCAUCAUAUGGCAACAUAUAUUGCUGAAGUAGAUAUUCUAAAAUGACAUGCGCCGGUGCUAAACAAAACAAAAGGCUUUCGAUGGUUCCAUUUUGAUUUGAGGAUAAUUUUCAUAUUUCGAAUGCCAUCCUAUUGAGACCAGAGUUACGAAAAUGUGGAAAAUUGAAAAGCCCAAAGGGAACCUUCUUUAAUUCUAUCAAAACUUGCGUAGUUAUUGUUGAAAUGGUCGUAAUUUCAAGGAUCUUGAUGUAUAAUGUGAUAGAACUUUCAAAAAAAUGGUCAAAGCAAAUCUCUUGCAUGAAAUCGAAGGAGGAGAAGAUGAAAACCCAUAGCAGAACCGAACUGGUUCACCAGGUUUAACACCUUCAUCCAGUUAUCCAGUCGAUUCACAGUUUUCAAAUUUUAAAUCAAUUCAGCCGAUAUGGUUGUGACUAAAAUUCUAAAAGUAGUCAAAACACGUAGCCAUUGCCCUUUGGAAUAAUGGCUUAGACACUGGUUAAGCAAUUUAGUAAAUAAACUGUAGACUCAAUACAUCGACUUUACUUGUGAUUUUUCUUGUGAAAUGUUCAAUCAGUAUUCCGAAAAUUUAAUUAUUUCACAUUAAGUAUGUUUAACAAGUAUUUCAACACGCCCCACACUAUAUUUGUGUUAGUAAUUAUAGAUUUGAACUUGGCUUAAAAAGCUACUUGGCCUUACAAGCUACUUGGCCUUGUAUUGAGCUCUGGAAAAAUUGAGUAUAAGUUCAAGUAGACAAGCAGGGAAUCAGACAGAGUACCUUGCCAGUAGCUUUCAGCCUUUCAAUUACUAAAAUUCCACCAUUGUCAUCUAGUACACGGGUUCAGGAAUAUCAAAGAGUGACCUCAAAGAAAUUGCUUCGAUUGAGGCUUCAAUGCGUGACUGGUUAACACAAUUUGGUGUAGUAGAGUCUGAUUAUUAACCAAUAAGAUGACCCUUUUAAAGUUUUUUGUUCAAACCAAAUGAGUAAAUUUUGGGAAUGGCCCUUUUCACCUUUCCAAAAAUUUCCCACAUUUUUCGAUAGUCUUCAAUCGUAGCCUACGCCAGAGAAAAAUAGGUUUCAGAUAUGAAAAUGUACAUGGAUGCGGCUCUUCUGCUUUUAGAUUUUUUUUUUUUGGUAAGUUCUUCUGCUUCUAGAUUCAUGCUUAAAUAAAUCAAGUUUGAGAUUAUACUAUCAAAACGAUUGCAAAAUGCCUACAUAUGAUUUUUCAAUGUAACCAGACUAGGAAGAUGAUUUUACAUUGACGAGCGCUUUAUUUCAUGUUCAAAAUUCUUUCAAAUGAGAAAACUAUUGUCUUCUAGGAAACAUUAUCAUUGAAACUCUUGCCUGCAAUUGACAAAUUAUUUGCUAAUUCCAUGGCAUUUGCUUUUUCCACGACAAGAAUCUCUCCGCCACAAAAUUAUAGCUUGAAGUGGACAUCUAACUGGUAAUCUUGUUAGCAAAUCUCACUUUAUGCUUAACCUGCAAAUGCAUUCUUCCAGCAAGCAAUUUGUGAUUCGGCCUUUGCUAAAGAAUAUCACGAUGUCAAAGCUCCCCAAGGCCUAAUGCACCAUAUGAGAAGAGGUCGCCUCACAUCCAGAAUCCUUUGAAGAGUACUAACAACACAAACGCCAAAAGGAAAGAACUUCGGGAUGACUUUUCAGAAUGACAAAGCUCAUUCCUACUCGCAUCUCCAUCCCAUGGUGUUUGGGGACUUUCUCUGAGUUAAAUGAAUUGCAGCUUGAAUCUACACAAGCCAAAUAGCACUGACUAUAAUCAUUGGUAAUGAAAAAAACCAAGAUACGUAGCAUCACAAUUUACCUCAUCAAAGAUAAGGUACAAAUGCAUAAACAUCAUUUCACCGGUUGGACCACAAUGAACAGACGCUUCAUUAGGUGGCUGAUGAAAUAGAAAAGAACAGACUUGGAGAAGUAAGCAAUUAGCAAUACUUUCCAUGUUUGUGUUUAGGAACAGAAUUGAUGCUAACAGAAUGAUGUUGAAAAGGUGUGAGUGCCUAAACUACAGAACAGAGAGAUGUAUUUGUUACUUUGGUAUUUCACAAUAUCCUAUUAGCAAAAUCAGCAAUAGCGGAUAGUUUGCAAGGAGGUCAAUUUCAACUUUACAAAUCCAAUGCCACAUCCACAUGAGAGGUGAGCCUAUCAAAUCAGAAACCUACAUGAGAAUAUUUACGAGAUAUUAUCACACUAAUAAACUUAUAGAAAUGAAGGAGAUUGUCAUCAUGCAUACUUGCGUACUAAUUUCUGGUGAAAUUACAUAGCUCAUAUAGUCUAAGCACACAAGUAAGUCUUUCAUGGUACAACUAAGUAAGUCUUUCAUGGUACAACUAGCACUGCAUACCUCUCCCUUCAGAGCCUCAGCGAGUUGAGGAGUGAUAUAUUUAGAAUGCAACUUUAUCAAACAACUCUGCGACAUGGUAACAUACAAAAAGUCAGCAGCUACGUGUUUGAUUAACAGAGAGAUAGAACCUAAUAAGCAUACAGAAAGCAUAGUUAAUUGAAAAAAAUACAUUUACAAUCGUUCAGGUACGUACUGUUGAGACAUGAUCAAGUGUUCGAAUAUUCACAAGCAUCAAAACUUCCUCAGGACACUCCAGUUGGCCCCAGAGUGUCUUCAAGGUUGGCACAGAAAAUGGUCCUCAGCUGUUGUUAUGGAAUUUGAAGUUCCUCAGCCAAGUUAGAACUAGUAAUCAUGUUAACAAAUCUCAUUUUAUGCUUCAAUUCACAUAUAGAACCACCAGCACAUGCAGUCUUCCUGAAAGUGAUUUGUCAUUCAGCCUUUGCCAAAGGAGAGGACAAUGCCAAAGGUUGCACAGGACUAAAACACCACAUGAGAAGAGGUUGCUUUAUAUCAAGAAUCCUUUGAAGAGUAUUAACAACACAAAGCACAUGAUAAACGCCAUUAGCAAGGAAUUUCAGGAUGCAUUUCCAUAAUGACAUAGCUCAUUCCUGCAAUGUUUUGGGACUUUCUCCGGGUUUCAUGGAAUGUAGCUUCAAUCUACACAAGGAAGAUAGCACUGACUAAUUAUCAAUAAAUGAAGAUACCCGAGAUCCUAGCAUCACAAUUUACACCAUGAGAGAUAAGGUAUAGUUGCGUAAACAUCAUUGACACCAAUUGCAGUUGGACGACAAUGAACAGAGACUUCAUUAGCUGGCCAAUGAAAAAGAAACCAACAGGCUCAAAAGAAGUAAGCAAUUAGCAAAACUUUCCCUAUUUGUGUUUAGGAACAUAAUUGAAGUUAAUAAAAUUAUGUUGAAAAGGUGAAGUGCCUAAACUAUAGAACAGAAAGAUGUAUUUGCUACUUGGUUAUUUUGCAAGAUCCAAUUAGCAAAAUCAGCAAUACAGGAUAGUUUGUGAGGAGGUCAAUUUCAACUUUACAAAUCCAAUGCCACAUACAUGAGAGCUGAGCCUAUCAAAUCAUAAACCUAUCUGAGAACAUUUAGAGGAUAGUAUCACACUAGUAAACUGACAGGAAUGAGGAAAUUGUCAUCAUGCAUACUUGUGUCCUAAUUUCAAGUGAAAUUCCACAGCUCAUAGAGUAUCAGCACACAAGUUAGUCUUUCAUGGUACUACUAGCAGUGCAUACCUCCCCCUUCAGAGCCUCGUCAAGUUCAGGAGUGAUAUCAUUAGUUAGCGACUGCAUCAAGCAACUCUGCAUCAGGGUAACAUAUAAAAAGUCAGAAGCUAUGUGUUUGAUUAAUGGAGAGGUAGAACCUAAUGAGCAUACAUAAAGCCCAUUUAAUUAAAAUAAGUACAUUUACAAUUGUUCAGCUAUGUGUUGUUGAGACAAGAUCAAAUGUUUGAACAUUCACACAAAUCAAACCUUCCUUUGGACACUCCAGUUGCCCUUAGAACAUCUUCAAGGUUGGCACACAAGAUGAUCCUCAGCUGUUGCUGAUGCUUCCUCCGCAAAAUCCCUUUUCUUCAUUUUGAUUGGUCUCAAGUAUGGAAUUUGAAGUUCCUCAGCCAAGCUAGCCACACCCAAAUCAGAUGAUAAAACAAUUCCACGGCAGCAAUAGGAUCAAAUGCGAUGCAAACCAAUUAGCAAAUUCUUGAGCCCCUCAUCCCAGCUUGUUUCACAAACCGGGCAAAAAUUGUCUAAUUAUGCAAAAGGUCAUCCACAUGGUUGACUGAAUUGAAGUCCCAAAGUAAGUCUUGAUCAUUGCAUAGACCAACCAAACCUGUCAUAGAAGCAGCACAAGUUUACCUUGCUUGAUAAUAUUUCAAAACAAUAGUAUGGCUAUUGGUAAUGUUAAGGGGGUCUACAUUCAUAUAUGACAGACUAGCCAAAACAACUUUCAACAUUUUCUUUGUCACCAAACAGAAACACUUGAACCUUGAAUUUUAUUUUAUCUCAGUUCAUCAUAUUCCAAGAAGCAAUGCUCUUCUUAGAAGGUUAAUGAGGGACAUCAAGAGAACAAUAAGAAACUUGACAGGGGUUUCGUUCAUCAUAGAAAAUCAAAAGGUGUUUGUCCCAAACGGGAUAUCUGCCAUUAGUCAAAUUUGACAUACAAAAGAACUUACAAAGGAACUCAAAAUGGCCAAAGAUUUUUUUCAAAGAAAAUAUGAACAUUGGACAUUGGGAAAUUCUGGGUGUAGUAUACAAUAACGAGUAGUAGAAGUUCAUCAGCCUCUAGAUGAAAAUCUCAAAUCCCAGGUUUUUCGAUAAGGAAAAUGUUAAUUACUUGGUAAUUCCUGUUUAUCUUUGUUGGUAUUUAUAUUCUUGCCUCACAAGCUGCUAUAUGUUUGCAGCCUACAGAAGCUGGCAAUGGAAGAAUAAACAAAAAACAUUGCUAUAACGUAAUCAACAGCAAUUAUAGAGAGGCAAAUCCGGAGUUUCCAAAAUCAAUCAAAUAGAUACCCAUUGUAGAGCGAAUCAUUCUAAAAGUUUCUCUUUUUGCUCAUGCCGGCAUUUCAAGGAUGAAGAAUCUUACUAUGUCUUCUAUUGGGUCUACAUUUUGAUCUUGGCUGAAACAUCACGUCAGCUUCUGGCCAACUCCCCCACUCCUUCAAUAAUGUAAGACUAGCAAUUUAGACCCUGUCAUGGAAAGCCUUCUUGUCAGAAGAAGAUGGAGAUGUAAAGUUGGUCAUGGAUCUCAGAAGAAAAAUGAUUGUUCAUUGUUGAUGUACCUUUGUUGAAGAAACAUUACUCCUCUCACUGUUGUAAUACGGGUGUAAGAUUUAUUACAUCAUUAUCACCACAAGAUAAUGUUUCCAAAGAGAACUAAAACAUAAACCAGGGACCUAGUUCAUAAUUUCUGUUGACGUGCAUUCCAGAUAAGUUAGGUAUUGCUUCUAAUGAGUCACAACCAGAAAUAUCCAAAUAAAUUAAAUUCAACAUUUCAAGUCCCCGAAGCUGAGCAAGUUUCUUGCAGUCUCGAACAC